AUCAAUCUUUACUUCUUUUUUCCCUUUAUUUUUCAGGAAGGUUUAUGCUUCUUUGGCAAGAAGAGAAAUGCGCUGCAAGGAACCCAAAAAUACCAGGACUCUUCAUGCCUAAUAGGAAACCCAAUAGAUGACUGUUAGGAAUGUGACCCAAAUUGGCCAAACAACAGGCAGAGCUUAGCAGAUUGUGCAAUUGGGUUUGGCUAAUAUGCUCUUGGAGGCAAAGGUGGUGAGUAUUAUAUUGUCACAGACUCUUCUAAUGAUGAUGCUGUGAAUCCAAGGCGGGGCACUCUGAGUUAUGCUGUGAUACAGACUGAGCCUCUCUGGAUUGUGUUCCCUGGCAACAUGCUCAUCAAGCUCUCCCAAGAGCUCAUCUUCAACAGCUACAAAACCCUUGAUGGCCGUGGAGCCAAUGUCCACAUUGUGGGUGGUGGCUGCACCACAUUGCAGUUCAUAAGCAAUGUCAUCAUCCACAAUGUGCAUAUCCACAACUGUUAUCCGUCAGGUACAUGAGUUUUCCACUUCAUUUCAUGAAUUUUUAUUUACCAUAUACGCAUGGUUUGCUCAUAGUUAAGUUUAUUCAAAUUUACUCGAUACAUAUGAUUUACGAAUGAUUGCAAAUAUUUAGUUUUAUCUAAUACAUGUGACUUAUGAAUAAGAGACUGUGUGUAUCUAGAUUUACUUUAAAUUUACCUUAAAACCCUUUGCCGGGUUGUUUUUGCUUUUACUCAAAAAUAAUUUUGGUGUAUACUCUUGGAAUUAGCUCAAGUAGCGGAGAAGGUGUUUGAUAAAAAUUGGUUAGGAUUAGAAUAAGUUAAGAUUUCGAUCCAUUCCAUGCAGGUGGCACUAACAUGCGUUCAAGCCCAACCCACUACGGCUACCGCACAAAAUCAGACGGAUUUUGACUGGUAAAGGUAUUCUCAAGGAAACUGACUUUUUGGACUUUAUUUACUCUUUAAAAUUGGCUUUCUGAAAGGGAAGAUUUGAAUGACUGAUAAAACAGAGAAUAUAAUUAUAUGUCAAAUAUUAUAUUGUUGUUUUUCAAGUAGCAUUCGUCUUCUGGCUGCUCCUAUCCAUAUAUAUAAUGACAAAUAGCAUAUUUGGAUAAUCAAAUUUGUUCUUUUUCUUUCUUUUCAAAGUUACUAGGUUUAAUUGUAACCGAAAAAAAAGUUACUAGUUUUAAUUUGUGCUUACACACAAUAUACAAUUUAUUCUCCAUUUAGCUUAACAAACUUAUUAAUGGCACUCUCUGCAUAUUUUCAGGAUUGAUACUCAAUCAAAUACAGGGAAAUUUCAAUCCCUCUUUCGUGUAUGAGCCCUCAUAAAGAUGACAUUUAUAUGCUUUUGUUGAAGAACUUUACGAAAUAUUCAUUACAUUUUUGUGUUGUUUUACCACACAUUGUAUUUCAGUAUCUUCUUCAGGAUGUUGCUUUGGAGCCCAAAUGGUUGAAUAAAAUCCCUGUAGGUCAGGAGUUCAUGCUUUUUUUUUAACUUUUACAGGGAACUUUUUACUUGAUGUGGAUAACUAUCAUUCUAGCCAUGACAUUGAUUGAGGAGCCAAUAUAGUUAGCAUUGGAAUUUUAAAUUAACUUUAGAAUUCGUCAUUAAUUCUCAGGUCCAGUGAGAUCUAUUUCUUUUACUUUCGAGGUUUUAUUUAUUUAUUUUAUAACUCAGGUGGGUUUUUCUGGUAAUGCAUCUUCAGCCCCUGAAUCAAGAAAUUGUAAAUUCUCCAGUAAUGUGAUGAUUCAUGCAGUUGACAAAUUCGGGAGCUUCUUAAGGCAAUUUCCUCUUUUUCCAAAUGCUUUUCUGGUUGGUGGUUGGUGCAGAAGACUUCUUUAUUAUUCAACUUGCAGAUCAGGUAAAUUUUGAAGCACUCUGUGAUGCAAGUACUUUUGUUGAGUAUUUGUUCUCACAUUGCAUUGAAUGAGGUUGAUAUUUUCUUUAUCGGUCAGCUUCAAAAACUGAAGGUGGAACCAGCACAUAAAACUUCUCCAGGGUAAUAUUCUAACCAAUUUUUAGGAUUAAGAUUUAAGGCAUCAUGUGAACCGGGUAUUUUGGUGGCUUCUGAUUAUCAACUUAUUUAUUGUGGUGCUAAUUAUUUGAACUCAAGUUAUUUGUGCCUAAUGAACCACAACUGUAAUAAUUUUAGUUGUAAUAUAUAUAUGUUUGUGUGUCUAUUUGUUUUUUGGUAUAUAAGCAGACCGUUGUCUCGCAUCAUGCUGAGGCUGAUAGAUAAUUUUGAUGAAUUAGAACUUUAUGAUACACAAGGACAGAGUUGUAGGAACUGUCUUCGCUCACAAUUAAGAUGUCAUUGUCCUCUGAAUGAAUUUGAAAACAAACCAGUCUUCGCUUCAUGUCCUCAUAUUUUCAUGUUUCCAUUUGUUGGUAUGAGAAAAGGAAAUGUAACAGAGGUUGUGAUUUCUGUUGGGGUCCAUUCCAAAAUUAUAUAGGUUCUGCUGCAUGCUAAAUUUGCAGCUCAACUCUUUCAUCUAUGUUACUGAGUCUUUGGAGCUCAUUGUUUAGACUCUUGUUUAUGGAUAGUUUGAUGAUUUGCAGCAUCAAUGUUUUAGACAAUUAAGGCACAGUGAUUAUCAUCCAUAGUUUUGACUUUGGUUUUUUAUUUUUAUUCCCUAGAAAUUAAUUUUAGUGAGAAAUUUGGAUUUCUAUUUCAGAAGGUUUGUUCUAGAAAAUACAAAAUCCAAAUAUUAUGAAGUGUGCACCGGAGAAGAUCCUCUUUUUACUUUUCCAAAAUAUAAAUAGUCUAUUAUAUUAGUCUGAUGUUUCAUACCCCCAACUUAUCUUUUAUAGUUAAUGUUCCAUUUGUGUUUGCAGGCCCGAGUCAUUGGGUAUUAUUGUUGGAAUUAUUUUCUUGGUCUUGGGAAUCUUAUUCUAGUUUUUCAACUUCACUGCAGAUUCAAAUGUAAGUUUGCUCUCUUUCAUUGAAUACAGGAACAUAACUUCAUUUCAAUUUACAAUUUCUGCAAUUUAUUGGUUCUUAGAGGUGAAACAUGAGAAUUCCUGUUUGUUUAUUAUCUGUUUGCCUACUUUUUAAAUGUAGUUAUUUACAUAGUUAAGGGCGUUAGUGAAAAAACUGUUCCCACCAAUUAAGGGGUAGGUUAUGAGUACAUUUUGUUCAAACCCAUUAGAGUUUACAAAUGAAAGAGAUGGAAAAAAUUUGAUGGCCUCAUACUAAUUUGAUGGCCUUAUCAGAUUGUUUAGAUGUAAUGAACAAAACUAUAACCUAUAGCCUGUUAUUUCUGCCUUUAUUCUGCUUACAUUAACACAUGUCAUUUUCCAAAUUUGUACCAACAGAGUUAAAACCUCCGCCGAGGACAAGAAAGAACAUAAGCCACCUCUACAGCUGAGCUAACAAGAGAAAGAAUCCCUAUAGUUCAAAUAGGCAGCUCUUGGGGACUUUGAAACAUGUGAUGCCAUGUAGGCAUACACCCUUCUCAUCCAGCUAAUAUGUUUCUCAGUUUCCUUGUCAUCAUCCCAAGUGACCAAAUACUGGAUUGCAAAUAUACUUCCAUUUCUAUGUGGGAAAGGAGUUUCUGAAUAAGAUAUCUCACUCAUUCUUCCACCGUAAGGUGCCAAUAUCAACUGGGAUGUCUCUACUUCAAGUAGUCUUUGCCACAAACCUUCCAAGCCAGCUUGUGAAAUGUGUUGCGUCACAUUGUCCGAUUUUGCUUUGAAGAAGCUCCUAGAUGGCUGAGUCCUUUUCAGCAAAACUUCCAAAUAUUCGCUUAUUGGGAAGCCAGCAAAGUACAUCACAGACUGGAUCCAACUCAUUUCAGUGCAAUUGCUGUGGUCUAAACUCAAGUCCGGGAACUUAUCUUGCAUCAAAAGGAGAAGCUUCUCAACCGGUCCAAGAAACAACGAAUCAAACGACACUUUAAUAGUUUUGCCAUCAGUUGCACCGGCUUCAUUUGCAACUUCCACAACCAAAUGUAAGAAAAGGUCUUCAUGGAGCUUAUCUGUUACACCUUCUUAUAUGGCCAGAAUGACUGCAAAGCUCGAGCCUCAUCCUCCUCUGAUAGCCCAUAAGAGUUCUUCUCCCAUGGGCAGAGUUCUCCUCCAAUCUAAUAAAAUCACUUUCUUGUUUCCCUUACAAUUCUAACAAAAAGGAUGAAAAGUAGAGGAAGUAGUUUCAUGUGUAAGGUCACCAUUUUCAUUUCCUCUGUAUGAAAUGCAUGAGCUCUUAGCUCACUUGAAAGAUAAUUGCAGGCAUUAGGUGUGCAUAUUGAAGACAAAGCAAAGGUUCAGUAUGUGUCUCUUUCUUCUGUCAGUUAUUAUAGAAGAAACAAGUAACAAAACUCUACGGAUUUAGAGUCUUCUCAAAAACUUAUUUUAUAAUUUGAGAUACAAAUGAUUUAAUAAUCGCAAUGUGGAUCAUAUUAUCCACAUUAUCAUAAAAUAAACCCUCUUAAUUGUCGUUUUUUGUCAUUCAUAUUAAAGAAUGUUAUAAAAAUAACCUGGAAUAUGUAUGAAUAUUAAGCUGCACGUAAAGUAGAUGAGACACAGUAUUUAACGAGGUUCGGCUAUGCCUACGUCCCCGGAGAGCAGCAGUAGUAACUUUUCCACUAUGUAAAAUAAUAGGGCUAUAACUUUAGUAUUUACAAUAUAUGUGGCUCACUAAUUUUUCUCUCUUGGAGAAAUUUCUCUCCACUCUAUUUUUCUCUCUACUUACUCACCCUCUUUCUUCCUUCUCUUCCUUUCUUUCUUGCCUCAUUCAUUCUUCUCUUCAUUUUGGUGUGUAUUACAAGUGAAUGAGCAAGCCUAUUUAUAGGCUAAGGUUUUGGUAAAAUACAGGGAAUGGAAGGUUCCUGGAAGAUGCAAGGAAACUUCCUGAAUUGAUAAAUACAGGGAAGGAAAGUUCCUGGAAGAUGCAAGGAAACUUCCUGAAUUGAUAAAUACAGGGAAGGAAAGUUCCUGGAAGAUGCAAGGAAACUUCAUGAAUUGAUAAAUACAGGGAAGGGAAAGUUCCUGGAAGAUGCAAGGAAACUUCCUCUGUGGGCUCCACCUUCAAACUUUUACAACACUCCCCCUUGGAGACCACAAAUGAUAUGGAAUAUGCCUCGUUAAAAACCUUGCCAGUAAAAACCCAGUGGGACAAAAACUGGUCGAAGGGAAAAAGAGUACAUAAUCACGUGUAACAUAAAAUUCUGUGUAUAUUGACGCGCGUGCGACACUGCCUCGUUAAAACCUUGCCAGGAAAAACCCAGUGGGAUAAAAACCUAGACGAAGGAAAAAGAGUACAGUGUGUAAGGGUCUGUAUUGACAGCACGCUCCCCCUGAUGCUUGGCAAAAUAUCUUUAAGCCAUACUGUUGAUCAUCUGUCUGAAUAUCAUAGUUGACACUGUUGCUGUGAGUCAAUAGUGUAUGAAGGUCUUUAUUAAUACCAUGCUCCCCUUUGUGUAUAUCUCCCCCUGAAAAAUUUAGGACUAGCUUUUGUCCAGUAAGCGACCAUAAAAUUUUUCAUAGUAUACCCUAAACCCUUGAGCUACACUGCCUCGUUAACACCUUACCAGGAAAAACCCAAUGGGAUAAAAACCUGGAUAAAGGAAAAAAAGUACAGUGUGGAGCUGAGCUCUAUCUGGUCUAGUAUACUUCCGGAAAAACAUUUAAGGACCAACGGAUAAGACUCUCUUAGUAUAAGCAAGAAUCUCGUUGGUAUAAUGCUCGAUCGAGACAAAUAUUUCAUGAAUUCUGCAGAAGCUUUAAUGUGUUGCAAUCACAUUAUAAUCAAUGUACUCACUGAGGUAAUUUAUGCAUAUUAAUAUUGAGUACAAAUUUUGUGCUUCAAGCACAUGUCCUUUAGGGACUUGCUUUAUGCAAUGUCAAUCCUCUCAACGGAUUUUGUUUAAAAGGGAUUAAGCUUUAUGACACAUUAUAUAGCUUUAACCCAGCUAUUUAUACAUCUUUAGGGAAUCGCUUCUGGCGAUAUGCUCCGUGCAUUUAAUAACCCUUAAAGAUAAUAUGUUGGUCUCCGUAAUUGUGUAAUAAGGGGGGAACACAAUUGAAUCUGUAAAUAUGGAGAAAACCCAACAUUCCUUGUUUCUGCCAGAAACAGUGUGUCAUACAAAGUAGGUAUAUUCCCUUUUAUUCCGAACACCCAAGUAUAAAUUCAGUAUUAACAAAUUUUGGGGUUCGUAUUGUGGGUUUGUUCUUUCACGUUCAUUCUCAUUUAUAAUGGAAUUACCUCGUUCCAUUUUGGCUAAUGAUAUUGUCGACAUUUAAUAAUUGAACGUGGUUCCAAUCAACACAGCCCAUUGAUGAUUUGAGUAGCUACUCCAAAAUCAAAAAUUGUCAUUCAUCAAUUCAUGAUCUCACAAUUCUCAUGUGCAUGCGCAUGCAUCAAUUAUAAGCAUUCCUUUGCUUUUGGGUACCUAAGCCACUUCAGGGGGCUUUUAUUAUGUGAGAAUGUGGAUUAUAACCUCCAUCGGAGCGUUAUUUAGUAGUAGGGCGUGGAUCAUCUCCAUUUUGGGAGUUGGAACAUUGAGAACCCAUAUAUCUGUCAUGCUGCAGGCAUGCCACAGAUUAAUACAUACAUGUCAAUUAAUUUAUGGGACUUUAACCCAUAUUAUGGGACUUUAACCCAUAUAAUUUGCUACGCAUUAGGCGUGCAUAAUAUCAAUAUUGACAUGUCAAAGGAUUGUCCUUUUGGGACUUCAAUCCACAUCAUUUGCUACGCAACAGGCGUGCAUCAUAUUGAUCACUGCUAUACCCAUAUUUUGUUCUUAUGGGACUUUAAUCUGUGCAGUGUAUUAUCAAUGUAUCCAACUUGCAAUCUGUAAAAUUUGCGUUAAUAAUUCAUGGAUACAUACAAGCCAUUCUUUUGGAACGGACUUAUCUCCUCAUUUGGUUACCUUUCAAGAUAAAAUAUCAAAUAGGUAUAUAAGCAUAAAAUAACACAAGUAUUGCUUACAUCCUUAGGUGGGAGAAACUUUUCUCAAGUAUCAUUCAAGCUCAUAUCAGCCCAGUAAAUAUAAUGUAGCGCUUGAUGAUCUAGUUAUAUCCUGCAAGAGCAAAAAAUCACAACUCUUUUGCCUCUGUCAAAACAAAUAACCCUCAUAGUUAGGAUUACUUCAUGGAUUCAUUCUUCAGAUGUUCAUUCUAAAGAAAUAAAAUCUCUUAUGAACAGAGAGUUAUAAAAAGAGAAAAAAUGCAAAAAUAAUGUGAUAUUGAUUGCAAGAGAAGGUAAGCAAUCAGGGAAGGAAGCUGGUGGGAGCAGACAAUAAGCUCUCAUAUCUCCUAGUCUAGAAGGACUUCCGGAGAUUAGAGCAUAAGAUCGCCUUCACAGUUUCCUGAUGUAGUGGAAACGUGAUCAGGGAUAGUCUUGCUUCCUGAAUGGAUGAUCAGAGAUAGUCUUGCUUCUCAGGCAUAUUAAGUGCUCACUGAUAAGAAAAACAAGUAGAUAUCGCAUCACUAGGUAUGGAGAAAACUGGAUGUCUUCUGCAAAGAAAAUUUCGUUAGUAACACAUUUAUACACAAAUACAAUGAAUAGGUAGAACCGGUGAAUUUCAAAUUAACCAUAGGAAAAUUGCGAGAUUCUCGGGAUACUUUUGAAAAAGUAGUUCCGUGAAAUCCGUAAAGCAAGAUCGGCUUUGAAAAUAAUACUUUGAAAAACGCCGAAAGUGCCGACAGACAUUAUUAGAGGCCACGUGAAGUUUUUGGACUCUGGGAAAGAAAAAGAUAAUAUGGGGAUUCGAGAAGAUAUUGGGGUCCUGAAAAGUUGCCACAUUUUCGUCUAUAGAUAUUGCCUUUGCAAACUGCGUUCAACUCAACUUCCUUCAUUUUCCGAGCCUUUAGUUUUUCUAAGACUUUCUUCGAAACCUUCUUAAAAAAAAAUGGCUUCCUCUUCUUCCUGCCCAAAUUAUUUCAAUUUAAAUGAUGCUCCCACAACAACCAGUGACGCCCAAGUUUGGCGUCCAUCCUUUGUAUCCAAAAAUCGUCAUCUCACAGUUAAUGAUUCUGUGAUGAUGAAUGAUGCUACUGCUGUCAUAGUAGCUAGGAAUUUCAUUACUCCAAUGGAUGAAAUGUUGUUGACAGGGAGAUCAGAGGAAGAGGCUAUUGAUGACUCAAUGGCUUUUAGCAUUCAGAGUGCUGUUUCUGUUUCUAACAUGGCUGAUCGUUUGCGUGCCAGAGCAAACGAGGUUGAGAAUUUAACAACUGAAAAUUCGUCUCUCCAAAGAAUGCUUCAUGAGUCUCAACAGGAGGUUGAGAAACUUAAAGGAGAGAAUAAUGCCUUGUUGAAACUGGUGAGUUCGUACUCUGUUGAUACACUGAGAAGGCUAGACAUGCUGCAGGUCUCCAAUGAAAGAAUUUUGGGAGACCACGAGAAGCUCAUGGCUAAGCUUAAGAGGCGCCGUCCUCUUCCUUCAGAGGCUUCCAGAACAUAAUGUAAUUUUAUAGAUUUUACAGGGCCUGCACCUUCAUUGCAGGAAAAAAUCUAUCUGUUGUAUGUUCCUGUUAUAAUAAUUGCGCAUAUUUUUAAACUUGCACCUGUGGUUUUUACGUCUUUUCAAAAUGACGAUUUGGAACCUUGUGCUUUAUAGGUUCAAAUAACCACAUUGUCUCUCCCAAAUUUCAUAUUUUAUCGCAUGGUAGCCCGGAACUUUUGGCCUGGGCACAAACUCAGAAUUUAUUUGCCCUUUUCAAAUGGACAUGAAAUAUGAAUUGAGUAAAAGCCAUGAUAAUAUCGCAAUAUAGUAGUGAAGAGCAUUAACUACUAUAUACCCACAACUUCAAGUUCAGGAUCUCUCAUAUAUUUGGAUCCAUGGGCUUCCGGCCCAGAUAUAACAAAAUAUGUGGGGAGCCUCAAUUCAUUAUUUGAGGUUUAUAUUAAUAUUAUCCAUUUCGCAGUGUAUUCUUAACAACCGGAAUUCACAAAAUAUAUUUCUUCCUUGAGGUGUCGAUUAUAACAAAAUCGAACUUUAUUAAAUUCAUCAUCUUCUUAUGCCAAAGAAAUAGGUGGCAUACCACAAUUUGUAAUAAUACCUCAAGGGUUGUCCAUUUAAUUGUUGGAACUUCAGGUUCUCAACACUGUAAAUUUUGAACUUCAGGCCAAAGCCACAUAUUCUCAUGGUAUGGACAUUUUUACAAUUUUCUGUACAUAUUUCUGGACUUCAAGUCCUUACAUAAUUGUCCAUAUCUUGAGGAACUUCUGGCAUCUCAUUUAAUUGCUUAUCCAUGAGUUUAAGGAACUGCAGGUUCCCUUUUGUAUAUAGUGACGGUUUACCCAAAAUGGUUAAUAUUUAUGCAUACGUCACUAUUCAUGUGAAUAGUACUAUUCAUCAAGUCAUGAAUACGUAUCUAUUCAUCUGCCAGUACAGUUAUCAUACAUGUGUACGGCACCAUGAACCAAUAUGGUACUGUUACAUCAUUAAGGAACUCUAGGUCCUUAUUUACAUGUCAGGGAUCAAGGACCCUUAAGUCCGAUCACAUGUUUACAAAUACAGUACCGGAGAGACUGCCAGCUCUCAUAUUAAUAUCAUCAUCAAGGAUCUUCAAGUCCUGAUGUAAUUGUAUGAUGAGGAUCAAGGAACUUCUGGUCCUGAUCUGCAUACUGUAAAAACUCAUCAUACAGCACAUUUAAUCCAUAAAAUAAAUUGCUGGUAAAUAAAUUACUGGUAUGGACGAUAAACCCGCACCACACUUUAAAUAAAUGUAAAUGUGCGGUAAAUUAAAUUCAUAAAGUUAAGGUGCUUGUAUGGGUAUUAAUUCUGCUCCAUAUAUUUAAAUAAAAGUAAAGGCGUGGACGAUAAACCCGCACCACCCUUUUAAAUAAAUGUAAAUGUGCGGUAAAUUAAAUUCAUAAAUUAAAUUGCUUGCUGUAUGGACGUUAAUCCCGCACCAUACUUUAAAUAAAAUUAAAUGUGCGGUAAAGUAAAUUGUGCUUGUAUGGGCACUAAUUCUGCUCCAUACAUUUAAAUAAAAGUAAAGGCGUGGACGAUAAACCCGCACCACCCUUUUAAAUAAAUACUGUUGUAUGGGUAAUAAACCUACACCAUACAGUAAAUAAAAUAAAUGUGCAGUAAAGUAAAUUUCAUAAAGUAUAAAUAAUAGUGCAGCACAAAAAUUAUACCUGAGAGCUUCUCGUGCUGAUAACGUGUUAUAAAAAUAACCUGGAAUAUGUAUGAAUAUUGAGCUGCACGUAAAGUAGAUGAGACACAGUAUUUAACGAGGUUCGGCUAUGCCUACGUCCCCGGAGAGCAGCAGUAGUAACUUUUCCACUAUGUAAAAUAAUAGGGCUACAACUUUAGUGUUUACAAUAUAUGUGGCUCACUAAUUUUUCUCUCUUGGAGAAAUUUCUCUCCACUCUAUUUUUCUCUCUACUUACUCACCCUCUUUCUUCCUUCUCUUCCUUUCUUUCUUUCCUCACUCAUUCUUCUCUUCAUUUUGGUGUGUAUUACAAGUGAAUGAGCAAGCCUAUUUAUAGGCUAAGGUUUUGGUAAAAUACAGGGAAGGGAAGGUUCCUGGAAGAUGCAAGGAAACUUCCUGAAUUGAUAAAUACAGGGAAGGGAAAGUUCCUGGAAGAUGAAAAUACAGGGAAGGGAAGGUUCCUGGAAGAUGCAAGGAAACUUCCUGAAUUGAUAAAUACAGGGAAGGGAAAGUUCCUGGAAGAUGCAAGGAAACUUCCUCUGUGGGCUCCACCUUCAAACUUUUACAACAAAGAAGUCAUUGUAAAAAUAAAUAAAUAAACUGUUGCAUUAUCAUUUGUCUGUGAAAACAAUGAAGUUGCAUUAUUGUUUGGACACCUAGUAAGCAGCAAAUGAAUGCUGAUUUUUAAACCUUCUUGCUACUCACUAAAAUAUAGAUAUCAGAAGUAAAGUACCCACUAAUGUUGUUGUUUGGAGCAAUUGCUCCCCCAGACAAAGUCCCGGGUUCGAUUCCUACUAUCCUUGUAGUGUGUGUGAGUUUAGUAUAUUAUCGCCUCUCAAAAUAGGAAAAGAAAAAUAUCAGAAAUUGAGUUUCAAGUUGUGGAAGGAAAAACGUAGAAGAAAGCUUUCAGAAAUUGAGUUGGCAAGUUGUGCACCAAACUGAGUUGAGAAGGAUGAGAAGUAGAAGUGGAACUAGUUUUGCGUGUGAGAUCUCUAUUUCUCUGUGCAUGUGGAAUGGUAUGAGCUCUGAGCUCACUUAUAUAGGUAGUUUGAGUUGAAAGAACAAUGCAGCCAUUGGAUAACCAUCGAUGAUUUUUCAAUAAUUGAAAAGAUAGGAGCAUACGCAAGAGACUGAAAAAGAAAAAGGUUAUACAGUAUUUUUAGACCUUUCAAAAAAUGUUUUCAAAAAGGAAGAAGUGUUGUAAAGGUUUUUGUGUGGAGCCCACUAACUAUUUAUUUGGAGACUUUGAGUAAAGUUUGUCUGCAACUAUCCCUUAGUGCACAUUCACGUGGGUUGGCUACCUCUACCAAUCUACCUAUAAAUAAGGCAUUAUCCUGCGUUUGCAUAGACACCUCCAGACGAGAGAAGAAUGACAGUCAGGCAGAAAAGAGGAAGAGAAGGAAGAAAGAGGGUGAGUGAGUAGAGAGGAAAGAGAGCAGAGAGAAAUUCUCCAAGAGAGAAAAUUCAGUGAGCUACACAUAUUGUAAACAUUAAAGUUGUACAUUAUUUUAUAUAGUGGAAAAGUUAAUGCUGCUGCUCUCCGAGGACAUAAGCAUAGUCGAACCUCGUUAAAUGCUGUGUCUCAUCUGCUUUACGUGCAGCUCAAUAUUUGCACAUAUUCCAGUUCAUUUUAUAACACGUUAUCAGCACGAGAAGCUCUCAGGUGUACUGGUGACAUUGGAAAAGCAGAUGCUUGAAUUCAAACAUGCACAUAACCAAUUUAAUAUGAUAAGAUAUGUUGGAAAGCUGUUUUUGGUUUAAUAUAUUAUAAUGGCAAAAAGAAAUGAACAUAUGCAAUUGGGAGCAUGUAUAUACACAGAACACAUCCUUAUCAUUUGAUUAUUGGUUACUUUUAUAUAUGGUUAUCUUAUAUAUAUAAUUAUAAUAUUAAUAUUGAAAGGUGAUAAUAUAAUAUAAAAUGUAUAUAUAUAUAUUUAUAAUACUAAUAUACUUUAUGAAUAUAUAUAUAGUGGCGGUUUUAUCCACACAGUUACUUUAUUUAUUGUAUGGUGUAGGUUCAUUACCCAUACAAUUUAUUUACUGUAUGGUGUAGGUUUAUUACCCAUACAACAGUAUCUAUUUAAAAGGGUGGCGCGGGUUUAUCGUCCAUGCCUUUAUUUUUAUUUAAAUGCAUGGAGCAGAAUUAGUGCCCAUACAAGCACGUUUACUUUAUCGCACAUUUACUUUUACUUAAAGUAUGAUGUGGAAUUUACCCUCAUACUUUAUGGAUUUACUCUACCGCACAUUUAAUUUUAUUUAAGGUAUGGUGCGGAUUAACGUCCAUACAACAAGCAAUUUAAUUUAUGAAUUUAUUUUACCGCACAUUUACAUUUAUUUAAAGUAUGGUGCAGGUUUAUCGUCCAUACCAGUGAUUUAUUUACCAGCAAUUUAUUUUAUGGAUUAAUUGUGUGGUAUGAUCCUUGAUCCUCAUCAUACAAUUACAUCAGGACCAGAAGAUCCUUGAUGAUGAUAAUGAUAUGAGAGCUGGCAGUCUCUCCAGUACUAUACUUGUAAACAAGAGAUCGGACUUAAAGAUCCUUGAUCCUUGACAUGUAAAUAAGGACAUAGAGUUCCUUGAUGAUGUAACAGUACCGUAUUAGUUAAAAGUGUCGUACACAUGGAUAGUAACUAUAUUGGCAAAUGUACUGUACACAUGAAUAUAUACGUAUUCAUGACUUGAUGAAUAGUACUGUAUACAUGAAUAGUGAUGUAUGCAUAAAUAUUGACCAUUUUGGGUAAACCGUCACUAUAUACAAAAGGGAACCUGCAGUUCCUUAUACUCAUGGAUGAGCAAUUAAAUAAGAUGCCAGAAGUUUCUCAAAAUAUGGACAAUUACGUAAGAACUUGAAGUCCCCAAAUAUGUACAGAAAAUUGUAAAAAUGUCCAUACCAUGAGAAUAUGUGACUUUAGCUUGAAGUUCAAAAUCUAACAGUGUUGAGAACCUAAAGUUCCAACAGUUAAAUGGACAACCUUUGAGGUAUUAUUGUAGAUUGUGGUAAGCCACAUAUUUCUUUGGCAUAAGAAGAUGAUGAAUUUAAUAAAGUUCAAUUUUGUUAUAAUCGACACCUCAAGGAAGAAAUAUAUUUUGUGAAUUCUGGUUGUUAAGACUACAUCGCGAAAUGGAUAAUAUCAGUAUAAACUUCAAAUGAUGAAUUGAGGCUCCCCACAUAUUUUAUUAUAUCUGGGCCGGAAGCCCAUGGAUCCAAAUAUAUGAGAUAUCCUGAACUUGAAGCUGUGGGUAUAUAGUAGUUAAUGCUCUUCACUACUAUAUUGCGAUAUUAUCGUGGCUUUUACUCAAUUCAUAUUUUAUGUCCAUUUGAAAAGGGCGAAUAAAUUCUGAGUUUGUGUUUAACCUGGGCCAGGAGUUCCGGGAUUUGGGAGAGUCGAUGUGGUUAUUUGAAUCUAUAAGGCACAAGGUUUCAAACUGUCAUUUUGAAAAGACGUAAAAACCACAGGUGCAAGUUUAAGACUGUGAGAAUUAUUAUAAUAAGAAAGGAGCAUACAACAGAUAGAUUUUUUCCACCUGCAAUGAAGGUGCUGGCCCUGUAAAAUCUAUAAAAUUACAUUAUGUUCUGGAAGCCUCUGAAGGAAGAGGACGGCGCCUCUUAAGUUAGCCAUGAGCUUCUCCUGGUCUCCCAGAAUUCUUUCAUUGGAGACCUGCAACAUGUCUAGCCUUCUCAGUGUAUCAACAGAGUACGAACUCACCAAUUUCAACAAGGCAUUAUUCUCUUCUUUAAGUUUCUUAACCUCCUGUUGAGACUCAUGAAGCAUUCUUUGAAGAGACGAAUUUUCAGUUGUUAGCUUCUGAACCUCGUUUGCUCUGGCACGCAAACGAUUAGCCAUGUUAGAAACAGAAGCAGCACUCUGAAUGCAAGAAGCCAUUGAGUCAUCAAUAGCCUCUUCCUCAGACCUCCCUGUCAACAGUAUUUCAUCCAUUGAAGUAAUGAAAUUCCUAGCUACUAUGACAGCAGUAGCAUCAUUCAUCAUCACAGAAUCAUUAAUUGUGAGAUGACAAUUUUGGGAUACAAAGGAUGGACACCAAACUUUGGGGUCAUUGGUUGUUGUGGGAGCAUCAUUUAAAUUGAAAUAAUUUGGGCAGGAAGAAGAAGAAGCCAUUUUAAGAAGGUUUAGAAGAAAGUCUUAGAAAAACUAAAGUUUCAGAAAAUGAAGGAACUUGAGUUGAAACGCAGUUGCUCAAAUCAAGUUUUGCAAAGGCAAUAUCUAUAGGAGGAAAUAUGGCUACAUUUUCCAGGAUCCCAAUAUUAUCUCAGAUCCUCAUAUUCUCUUUUUCUUUUCCAGAUUCCAAAACUUCACGCGGCCUCCAUUAAUGUUUGUCGGCACUUUCGGUGUUUUCAAGUAUUAUUUUCGUCAAAGCCGAUCUUGCUUUGCGGAUUUCACGGAGCUACUUUUUCAAAAGUACCCCUAGAAUCUCACAAUUUUCCUAUGGUUAAUUUGAAAUUCACCAGUUCUACAUAUUCCUUGUAUUUGUGUAUAAAUGUGCUACUAACGAAAUUUUCUUUGUAGAUCUAGAGAUGCGAUAUCCCCUUAUUUUUCAUAUCAGUGAACACUGAAUGUGCUUAAGAAGCAAAACUAUCUCUGAUCAUCUAUUCAGGAAGCGAGACUAUCCCUGAUCACGUUUCUGCUACAUUGGGGAACUGUGAAGGCGACCACAUGCUCUAAUCUCCUGAAGUUCUUCUAGACUAGGAGAAAUGAGAGUUUGUUGUCUGCUCUCAUCAGCUUCCUCACCUGAUUGCUUACCUUACCUUUCAAUCAAUAUCACAAUUUUUGUAUCUUUUCUUUCUUUUUAUAACUCUCUGUUCAUAAGGGAUUUUAUUUCUUUAGAACGAACAUUCAAAGAAAGAAUCCAUGCAGUGAUCCUAACUCUGAGGGUUAUUUGUUUUUGACAGAGAGAAGAAUUGUAAUUUUUGCUCUUGUAGGAUAUAACUAGAUCAUCAAGCGCUACAUUAUAUUUACUGGGCCGAUACGAGCUUGAAUGAUACUUGAGAAAAGUUUCUCCCACCUAAGGAUGUAAGCAAUACUUGUGUUAUUUUAUGCUUAUAUACUUAUUUGAUAUUUUAUCUUGAAAGGUAACCAAAUGGGGAGAUAAGUCCGUUCCAAAAGAAUGGCUUGUAUAUAUCCAUGAAUUAUUAAUGCAAAUUUUACAGAUUGCAAGUUGGAUACAUUGAUAAUACACUGCACAGAUUAAAGUCCCAUAAGAACAGAAUAUGGGUAUAGCAGUGAUCAAUAUGAUGCACGCUUGUUGCGUAGCAAAUGAUGUGGAUUGAAGUCCCGAAAGGACAAUCCUUUAACAUGUCAAUAUUGAUAUUGUGCACGCCUAAUGCAUAGCAAAUUGUAUGGGUUAAAGUCCCAGAAAUUAAUUGACAUGUAUGUAUUAAUCUGUGGCAUGCCUGCAGCAUGACAGAUAUAUGGGUUCUAAAUGUUCCAACUCCCUAAAUGGAGAUUAUCCACGCCCUACUGUAAAAUAACGCUCCAUUGGAGGUUAUAAUCCACAUUCUCACAUAAUAAAAGCCCCAUGAAGUGGCUUGGGUACCCAAAAGCAAAGAAAUGAUUAUAAUUGAUGCAUGCGCAUGCAAAUGAGAAUGGUGGGAUCAUGAAUUAAUGAAUGACAAAUUUUGAUUUUGGAGUAGCUACUCAAAUCAUCAAUGGGCUGUGUUGGAACCACGUUCAAUUAUUAAAUGUCGACAAUAUCAUUGGCCAAAAUGGAAUGAGGCAAUUCCAUUAUAGAUGAGAAUGAACGUGAAAGAACAAACCCACAGUACGAACCCUGUUUACACCAUAAUGAACCGAGCAGACCCAGCAUCAAAGCGACUAGCACCAAGGCAGCCACGCCUUCUCCCGUGCCGAAGGAAGACACACUUCCGAGGUGCCAGACACCUGCCGAAGCUCCCAGCUGCCAAACCUAAUUCCAGGACACGUGUCGCCACCACAACGGCUUGCACAAAGUCCCACAUUGGAACUUUGUGCAAAGCUCCCACUUUCACCUCCCUAUAAAUAGGGAACAGUACCCAGGUAAAAGCAAGAACUACUCUCCCACUUUUACCGUUACUCUGCUAGAAUUACUACUUGUAACUGACUUAGGCAUCGGAGAACCUUCGGCUGGCACCACACCGGUGUCCGAAGCUUAACGAUUGCUUCUCCCACUUUGUCUACUGUAGGUUUCCCAUCAACCUAUAUUUCACCAAGGGCCCCAGCUCUCUUCCCUGCUGAAGACCCCACAUACCUAAUCACUAAGUUGGACUCACUAUUGGCCGGGCCAUUUUGAGCAUCAACAGUUUAGCGCCGUCUGUGGGAAUUCGACACUUGAAUCCCUGCAUUCUCUAUCAGCCUAGCUGGCUCCUUCACCCCUCAGGCCCCGUCGCCUCUUCUUCACCCCACACUCUGCUAUGCCGACCGAGGAUAGCCACGAUACCCAGCAUCAUACCCCCCGCGGUGGUACUUCUAGAAGGAAAUCUUCGGAAGAUGCCACUCUCCAGGCAGAAGUGGAGCGCCUCUGCGACAGUGUCACUAAAAUGUCGGAAAAAUAUGAGCACCUUCAUUGCAGGAACGUUGAGCUAGAACAUGACUACCGUGCUUUAAAGCGGAACUGGGAAAGGACUCACACCCAGGAUGCCCAGCAAGACCUCACCCAGAACGUUGGGCUUACUCAGCCGAACCAGCCAGUACAUUCCAGCCACAGUGCCUCGGCCCAAGCUAGGCUCCGCAAGGGUAAAGACCACCUUCAUCCGGAGAUAACCCAGUCACGACCCUUUUGCGUUCCCCCACCGAGGGACCGACCCCAUGAACCAGUCAGGAUCUACCAAGAUUGCAGGGAUCGCCUCUCGGACCGUCAGCCAAGGCCGAUCCCUAUCCCUGUCAACCUCGAAGACCCACGGGUGACACACCUGGGCCCCUCGCCAGCCCCCGUCCGCAUACCCGACGAUGAAGGUGUCGGGGACUCGGAUACUUGGGAAUUUUAUAAUUCAGAGACCUGGCCAAAUUACCACACCGGGGCGCUGGAAAAUUGGGAACAAUCCCCAGUCCCUGUCUGUCCCGCCCCCAGGCCUUUGGCACCUGAAACUCUUCCUCAUGCCGACCCGGCCAUGAGGCUUCUCUUCGAAAAGGUCCGGCGCCUGGAAAGCGAACAACAUCGCAGCCAUCAACCCCUCUAGGCAAAACCACGACCAGGGCCCUUUACCGAACGCAUCCUCCACUACCACCAGGAGAAAGAUAUCCAGCCACUCCGCAUCGCUUUCUACACUGGCACGGAGGACCCUCUCACCCACAUCCACUCCUUCUAGUCUGCCCUUGGGUGCAAAGGCCUCACUGAUGAAGGCAUGUGCCUCCUUUUCCCUUCCACCCUCAGCGGCGCGGUCCUGAAUUGGUUCUACAGGCUCCACCCCCGCACCAUCAACUCCUUCGAUAGUCUCAAGCAGACGUUUCUGGACCAUUUUAUGAUCCAGACUGAUCGCCUAUACUCUGCCGACGACUUGUAUAUGCUUAGGCAGGCUGAGGACGAACCCCUUCGGGAAUAUGCAGCUCGGUUCAGUCAUGAAUACUCCCGCUGCCCAGACACUGACGAUCGCGCUGCCUUAGGCGCUUUUAAGAGCGGCCUCCGCGAGUCUAACUUCCGCUACCUGGUUCAUAGCAACAGUUGGAACACAUAUGCAGAGCUGAUGAAGCAGGCGGCGGUCCAUGCUAAGGCUGAAUACUUCAAUUCCAAGCGUGGCCCAGCCAACCUGAUGCGCAACGCUUUCGCUGAUCCUCCACCUGCUUUAGCACCCGCCCCAGCCUCACCUCAGCAUUCUACCCCUGCCCCGAGUGCCCAGGAUACCCAACAACAUAAGCGGAAGGAUAGCUACCAGCAUCCCUUCGGCAAUAACAAACGUGGCAGACAUGGUAACCACCAUCAAUCUAGUGGAAGCAACCCUCCCAGGCCUGGUGAUCGGGCCCCACUUCCAUUCACACCCAGGCCCAGGUUUGAGGUUUUUACGACCCUCAACACCACCUAUGAGAACGUCCUGGUGCGUGAAGCCCCCAUCAUCCCCAAGCCACCCCCCGGAGACCAUCCAACAAGCCUAUGCCAAACACGGGGGUCUUCUGUCGCUUUCAUCAAUUCAGCGGCCAUGACACCGAGUCUUGUGUUACGUUGCGCAACAUAAUUGAAGGGCUCAUCCGGGAGGGUAAGCUGGACAACUAUGUGCGCAACAUACCAGCCCCGCCUAACCCUCACCAACGACAAAUAAACAUGAUCUCCACCAUCAGCGGAGGUCCUACCCUGGCUGGCACCUCCAACAACUCCAUCAAACAUUAUGUCCGCUCCACCUAUGCGCACCAGGUCUUCAGCACCGAGCAGGGACGAUUGCCAAAGACCCACAGGACUGGCUGGGCCCCCAUUACCUUCUGCGAGGAGGAGGAGCGUGGUGUUAUCCUCCCCCAUGAUGAUCCACUCAUUAUCCGGGCUGACAUUUCUAACUUCGACGUUGGGCGUAUCCUGGUGGACACUGGCAGCUCGGUCAGUGUGAUGUUUGCCGAGGCCUUCAAUGAACUCCAGGUCCCGCCUCACCUACUCGACCGAAGCAUCACACCCCUUGUGAACUUCUCGGGUGAUGUGGUCCAGCCCAUUGGCAGCAUUCAUCUCCCUAUCUCAAUUAGGGCCGCACCCCAGCGGACGACGAUCACUACCCCCUUCCUUAUCGUCGAUUGCCCCACAGCCUACAACGUCAUCCUCGGCCGCCCAGCCUUGGCCCAAAUGAGGGCUUUUAUUUCCACGCAUAUGCUGCUGUUGAAGUUUCCCACUCCUAAUGGCCCAGGCACGGUGCGCGGCGACCAACUCGGAGCCCGGAGCUGCUAUGCUUCAGCCGUCAAAUCCACCAAUCGCCAACAUAGGAGUGAAGCCCUAGUAGUAACCAAGGCUCCCGCCCCUCCUCAAGCUGGCACAGAACCACCUGAACACCCAAGGGAGGAGUCCAUCGCACCACAGGCCGAACCCAUGGAGGACCUGGAGCUGCUUACCCUCCAUGACGAUAUCCCGGAUCGACAAGUCCGGAUCGGCACCUCCAUCUCGCCAGAACUUCGCUCUGACCUGGUCGCCUUUCUCCGCCUCAACUCCGAAGUCUUCGCAUGGUCCUACAAUGACAUGCCUGGCAUAUCACCAGACAUCAUAUCCCAUAGGCUUAGCGUCAAUCCUGCCGUCAGACCAGUCUGACAGAAGCGCCGCGCUUAUGAUCUCGAGCGCUAUGAGGCCAUGAGGGCGGAGGUGGAUCGAUUGAGUAGCAUCAGAUUCAUCAGGGAGGUUGACUAUCCUACAUGGUUGGCUAACGUCGUGAUGGUCCGCAAGCCAAGAAAGGGCUGGCGCAUGUGUGUCGACUACACCAACCUUAACCGGGCUUGCCCAAAGGACAGCUUCCCGCUACCCCGCAUUGACCAGCUAGUCGACGCCACAGCCGGCCACGCCCUCCUUAGCUUCAUGGAUGCUUAUUUAGGUUACAACCAGAUCUUCAUGCACCCCGAAGAUCAGGCCCACACCUCUUUCAUUACGGACCGCGGCCUCUACUGCUAUAAGGUGAUGCCCUUUGGCCUCAAAAACACCGGGGCUACUUAUCAGCGUUUGGUGAAUCAGCUCUUUGCCCCACUGAUUGGCAAUACCAUGGAGGUCUAUGUCGAUGACAUGCUAGUCAAGAGUCGCACAGCUGACCAACACAUCCCUAACCUCUCUGCCAUGUUCACCAUCCUGAAGCAGUACAAAAUGAGGCUUAACCCCACCAAAUGUGCAUUCGGGGUGGCUUCCGGCAAAUUCCUGGGCUUCAUGAUCAGCCAGAGAGGUAUUGAGGCCAAUCCAGAAAAGAUCCAGGCCAUCUUAGACAUGAUGGUACCUAAGACGGUCAAAGAUAUCCAAAGCCUUACAGGGCAUGUCGCAGCCCUGACCAGAUUUAUCUCCAAAGCCACUGACCGCUGCGCCCCAUUCUUCAAGGCCCUUAAAGGCACCAAAAGAAACAUCACCUGGACUGCUGAAUGCGACACGGCUUUCAGCGAGCUCAAGGAGUAUAUGGGCCGGGCCCCUUUAUUGUCCACCCCUGAGCACGGAGACAUCCUCAUGAUUUAUCUCUCAAUCUCAGCUUCGGCUGUUAGCUCUGUGCUCAUCCGAUCAAAGGAUAACGCGGAACACCCAGUGCAUUAUGUUAGUAAGGCAUUGCAAGAUGUCGAAGUUCGGUACCCGGACAUCGAAAAAUUGGCGUUUGCCCUGGUCGUCUCGGCAAGACGCCUCCGACCAUAUUUCCAAGCUCACACCAUCCAUGUCUUAACCAACCAACCGCUCCGACAGGUGUUGCAGAACCCAGAAACUUCUGGGAGGCUAGUCAAAUGGGCCAUUGAACUGGACGAGUUUGAUAUUCAUUACAAACCCCGCCCGGCUAUGAGGGGACAGGCCGUUGCUGACUUCCUAUCCGAAUUCACGGAGCCCCAAACUUCCGCAGCUACCCAGCUCAUAACCGAACCCAAUCCCCCUCCUAGCCAGGACCAAACCCCCACCGAAGGCAAUCUCGACUUGACCCAGCCCCUGUGGACCUUAUUCGUAGACGGCUCUUCUAAUGCCCAGGGCUGUGGGGCCGGCCUCGUUCUCAUCUCCCCAGACAAGGUUGCCCUCGAGUACGCCCUUCGCUUCAAAUUCCAAGCCUCCAACAAUGAGGCCGAAUAUGAAGCACUCUUAGCUGGUCUUCGAUUAGCCAAAGAGAUGGACGCCAGGAAAAUUCAGAUAUUCAGCGAUUCACAACUCGUGAUCCACCAGGUCAACCAGGACUUCACGGCUAAGGAUGCCUCUAUGACGGCCUACCUCCAGCACGCUCGGCACUUGCUGGCGACCUUCUACGCCCACUCUCUCAAGCAAGUGCCUCGCUUCGAGAAUAGCCAUGCCGAUGCACUAGCCAGGUUGGCAUCAGCCUUGGAACAAGGAAUGGGUCGCCACAUCCACAUCGAGUUUUUGGCCCAGCCCAGCACACAAGCCCCACUCAUCUGCACUAUUGAUCACAGCCUUACAUGGAUGGACCCCAUCCUCCAGUUCUUACAAAACCAAACACUACCGGCUAAUCCGGCCGAAGCACGACGCGUUCGCCAUCGCUCUGCCCGUUACCUGAUCAUUAACGGCUCCUUAUACAAGCGGGGUUUCAGCCUUCCUUACCUCCGAUGCCUGACUCCAGAGGAGGGUCACUAUGUCCUUCGAGAAAUCCAUGAAGGCAUAUGCGGUAACCACUCGGGCGCACGCUCGCUGGCCCAUAAGGCAAUCCGCCAAGGAUACUUCUGGCCAUCACUCCACACUGACGCCCAGGAAUUCACCCAGAAAUGUGACAAGUGUCAUCGAUUUGCCAACAUUCCACAACUCCCGGCUGAACCGUUGACUGCCAUCGUCAGCCCUUGGCCAUUUGCCCAAUGGGGACUGGAUCUCAUUGGACCUAUGCCAGAGGGCAAGGGCCAAGUCAAGUAUGCAGUUGUGGCCGUAGACUACUUCACCAAGUGGGCUGAGGGCGAGGCCUUGGCCACCAUCACUGCGGCUCGCAUCGAAUCCUUUGUGUGGCAAAACAUUGUAUGUCACUUCGGCAUCCCCAACUCCAUCGUCACCGACAAUGGCCAGCAAUUUGACAACGCCAAAUUCAAACAAUUUUGUUCCAACCUCAAGAUUCGUCUGUGUUUCGCCUCCCCAGCCCAUCCUCAGUCCAAUGGCCAGGUCGAAGCCGUGAACAAAAUUAUCAAGAAGACCCUCAAGACAAAACUUGACAAAGCCAAGGGCUGCUGGCCAGAACUACUCCCAGAAGUACUUUGGUCCUACCGCACCACCUUCCGCACAUCCACGGGUGAAACGCCGUUCUCCCUAUCAUUUGGAACCGAGGCCGUGGCUUCGGUAGAGAUUGGCCAGCCCACAUACCGAACCUCCACUUACGAUGCCACGGCCAAUGACGAGCAGUUGGCCCUCAACCUCGACUUCAUUGACGAGCUCCGGGACCAAUCGAGCAUGCGUAAUAUCGCGUACAAACAACGGAUCGCCAAAUAUUACGACUCCCGAGUCAAGCCCCGUGCUUUCAAAAUGGGGGACUGGGUCUUGCGCAAAGUUUCCUUGGCUACCAAAAAUCCCAACGAAGGUACCCUCGGCCCUACAUGGGAAGGUCCUUAUGAGAUUAUCAAAAUCUGCCGCCCCGGCACUUAUCAGCUUCGUGAUUCUACAGGCAAGACGCUGCCUCACCCGUGGAAUGCUGACCACCUCAAGUACUAUUACGAGUAAACAUAUCUAGACCCUAAGACAAUACUUUGGUCUUGAUUAUUUACUGUAAGGUAAAAGUAAGGUAUCUAGACCCUAGACCACUUGUACCUUCUGUCUUUCGGCAUCUAUUUCAAUGAAAUGCCUGACUCCGGCUCAUUCUCAUGCACUCACAUUGUUAUCAUUUUUACUAACACAAUUGAUAUCGAACCAAGUCUCAUAUCAUAAAUAAAAACACCCUUGCUCCAGGCAAGGACAAGUGUUCGUACAUAAACAAAAUAACCAGUGUUCCAACACAAUCACUAAAGUACAAAAUCACUAUAACACAUAACGAAGGCAACGCCUUCAAGACUCGGUCGACGGGGCAUCCUCAGUGGCCGGCUCAGCCUCUGGUGUCGGGGCGCUAGCAUCCGCAGGAGGGGUCUGUGCAGGAGGCUCGCCACUGGUGUCAAAGUUAAUCUCCACCAAGGGGUUGAACCUAACCAACCUAUCUUCCCAGUGAAGCUGCUCAUCAACCAGUCGGUCCAUGAUAUAGCUCUUCAGCUCCUCUGAGGAUCGGAAGGACUCAAUCGCCUCGACUCGGGCAGCAACCACCUCUUCGGCCUUCGAUCUCUUCAGCUCCUCCACCUCCUUGGCCAGGGCCGCCUUUUGAACCAGCAAGGCGUUCUUCUCUCGGAUGGCCUCCUGCGCCUCCGUCAUUUUGCUCUUGGCUAGCUCAUCCCGCCUCUUCAGCCUCUGGAUCUCCUUGUCAGCCUCGGCCAUGCUGACGUACAUCUCGCCAAAGGCCUGCAAAACAAAAACCAUGUUAGUCAAUCCACACAAAAAUAAUCCAACACAAAUACAUUCAAAAAAGGGCCCAAACACUUACAUAGGCAGAGGUGAGGAUCGUCUUUUGGGCCCGGUCAAUGAAGGAAGAAGCUGGAGUCCUCGCCAGAGCCUCAGGGUCGCUCUUCACACCUUCCAGGAAGACGUUCACUAAAGGCACCUCCUGCCGGUGCAUAGCCAGGUUGACCUCCUUCUUCUACUGGCGUAGCCUGCCGAAGUCUACCUUCUCUACCCCUUCAGCGAACACGUCCUCCAUGUCGAAGGGUAGCUUCGGCGGUGCCUGCAGAUCAAAGGGCGGAAGUCUCGGCCCUGACCCCAUCACAUGCUGAUGAGCCUCCUCCAAGGCUUUCCUUUUCCCCAGCACGUCCGCGACCCGACCCUCAUCAUCAUCCCUGGGUCGUUUUCCAGCACUCUUCUCAGCUUUCUUGGCCCGAGACUCCCUCAGCCGCUUCUGCAUCUCGGCCUCAUCAAUGUCUACGGCCACCUUCGUGCUCCCCCUUAUGAUGCCAGCCACUGUCAAAACAAACAAAGCAAUUCUAUUACUCAAACUCACAAAGGCUCAGCACACAACAAAAAGAUAACCCAGGUACUUACUUCCUUGCAGCAGUCCGGACUCAAACAAAUUCUUCUGCGUGACUAGGUUCCCGCACUCACGCUCAGUCUCUGAUAGCUGCGCCCUCACCCACUCAACCUCGUCUUCUUGCUCCUUGGAGAUAGGGCCCCACUUCACCGAACCUGCAUCAAGAGUUAGAAACUACUUAUCCAUUUACAUUGGCUCAAACAAAAUACAGAACCAAAAAUAGGAGCCAAGACAACACAAUCAGGCAUUGGACAAUCUUAAGAGAUGGGGCCAAGGACCUAUAGACUGGAAGUGGGUAGGAAUGUGCUGGACAACGCUCUUCCCUGGAGGACUCUCCCAGUCCCCGUAGGCCAUGCACCACCUGUUCCUCCAAGACUUUUGCGUUGUGGGCUUGUGUCCAAUAAAAUAGCCUCUCUCAUUCGCCUUUCGGCAAUUCGCCUGUACCCAGCCAAAAUUCCCCUGCUGUUUCGAAAUGGAGUACAUGUACAUGAAUUGCUCAAACGUUGGCUCCCCUAACCCAGCCAACCACCAAGCAAUAUACACCCCAUGAAGAAGAAUCCAAAAGUUGGGAUUAUACUGCCCCGGUGCAUACCCCAACUUGGCCAACAUCAUCUGAACCCACGGAUACAUAUCUGUAAAAAUCAUCACGGAGCCAUCCAAAGGAUAUCUGACUACAUCGGCCUCAGUGGGUAACCUCAAGCCCACAUAGGCUGGCACACAAAAAUCUGUUCGUAGCUGGGCCAAUUUCGCUUCUGUAAGUGUAUUUCGCCUCGGCAACGGGACACCAACCCGGAUGUUUAAUCCCUCUACACCGAAGCCACGGCUAUACCCACAGACCCUGAUGGUGAUGCCUGGUUGCUCGAACCCACUUCUUGCGUUUGAGGCAAGGCUAGAACCCGAUUUGCUAUAGCCUCUAACUCUAUAUAAUUUCUCUGCAUCUCCCUAUAUGCAGCCGACCCAGAGUCUCCCGAUGGCUCAACCCUCUCACCCCAGGCCCUAUCAUCCUACUUUCUAUAGUGCCUUCUACCAGACCCUCUGUCUCUGAACUCUCCUCUUCAGAACAUAUAUACUGGCUGGGCUCUUCACUCUCAGUAUCAUCCCCACCAAAGGCAGGGGGGUCAAGACUUUCCCUAUCAGAACUUUCAGACAUCUACAAAUAUGGAAAAACAAGAAAAAGGAACUAAAUGCACAUGCAGAGAGGAUCGAACCACAACAACAAAAAUUUGCCAAAUCUUCAUGCCAGGCAAGAAUUCUACAUGUUCAUACAUAUGUUCAACAUGUUCAUCAUGUUCAUGCUCAUGUUCAAUGUGUUCUUCCUAACCUUCAACAUGUUCAUGCAAAGCAAGACAUUUCAAUUCAAAGGUUCUAGCGAAAUAAGGUCUAACCUUGUUCGUAGCACCACGAAUGGAUCGCCGGAAAUCACCUCAGCCACAAGCACCACCACAAACUAAUCGCUGGAAAUCGCCUCUCCUCUUCUUCAAUUUCUCACAAAUUUUCUCAACUCAACUCAAGUGUGGUGCCUUCACCACCCCAAGUUCCUUUCUAUAGCCACCUAAGGGUACCACGCCUCGAUUCACGAGCAAACCCUAGCACCCUUUCAUCUUCCCUCCUAAAACCCUUGUACCUACACACCAUUUGAAAUUCAAUUUUCAAAAUACACAAACAACCAAAAACAAAAAAUUUAGGGAAAUUUAGGGGCCUUGCCGAACGGCAAGGCCCGUGCAAAAACAAAAUGGAAGUCCCCAAAAUUUCAAGUUUGCUAGCCUACUUCAUAGGCCCAAUAUUAUUACAAGGCUAGGCCCCUAAUUUGUUUAAAGCUAGAGCCCAAAUUUAUUCAAGGCUCGGGCCCAAAUUUUUGAUCAAGGAACCCAAAUACAUUUCACAACAUAUAUCAUGGAUGGGCUUGCCGAACGGCAAGGCCCGGGCACCAACAAAUUGGGGGCUCACCUCCAAUCGGCAAGCACAAGACAAACUGCACUAAACAAGCGAAACGGCCCAGCCUCACGGACUCUACAACUACUCAUACCCAUGGGACCAGCCCUCUUGCCGAAGACAACAAAAACGGGCAAAUCGGAAUUUCAAUGGCCUUGCCGAACGGCAAGACCCACGCAAAUAUACUGAAAGGACUCUUAAAAAUAUACAACUACUCACCGUGAGCUGCCUUGCCGAAGCUGCUGAACCUGCCCAGCACCCUUCGACACAACUGCCGAAGCUGCUGCCACCAAUUGCCGAAGACAUGCUCACCACAACUGCUGAACGACAAGGGCUAGAACUUGGAUGAGUUGGCCGCAAGUUCCCUCCAAAUCACCCUUGCCGAACGGCAAGGGCCUUCCAAAUCAAAUCGGGUGCUGUUUUCGUACCUUGCUCCAGCUGCCGAAGCAAACACUAGAAGCCGAGGAACUCCCUUGCCGAAGCAAACACUAGAAGCCGAAGACUUGCCCUGCCGAAGCAAUGUUGCACCGCCCAGCUCCUCCAGCCACCUGCAGAGCCCCUCGGACCACCUCCGCAGCACCUGCCGAUCUGCACCUCCACAGCCCUCGGACAGCACUUCCUGCCGAAGAUGGGAUUUCCUAAUUUUGUUCUACCCCAAAGUGCCGAAGGGAAAGCUGCCGAACGGCAUAGUUGCCACACCUUUUUGUUAUAUAUACUCCCCUCCUCCAAAACCCUACCUGCCGAAGCCCAUCUCAAGCCCUUCAUACUUGCCGAAGGCCCAAUCUAAGAAAGCCACCAACCUUCUCAAAAUAGCCCAGCCAUUCAAAAAAUCAACAAGUAUGGAGCUAGACCCUUGCCGAACGGCAAGGGCCAUGGGAAACUUUGGAGAGUCUUCAAUUUUCGAAUGGCUCGGCCAUUCACAAAAAAAAAAAAAAAAAAAAAAAGGGAGCUAGACCCUUGCCGAACGGCAAGAGCCAUGGAAGAUUUGGAGUCUCCAAAAUUUUCAAAGAACCCGGCUCCCUCGAAGGUCUGGCUCCCCUACGGACCCAGCUCCCAUCCUACCUGCAAUAUGCCCAAGUACCCAGGUAUCCAGCUACCAUGUGUUGACGCAACUCCUAGCUUGCCAACUUGGGGGACUAGGGAGUGCCCUGCGGCUCCCAACGAAGCUGGAAUGCUCGGUUACAAUUAUAAAAACUCACAAGUUCCCAACCCAGAAGUUACUUCUCGACCGCGAACUUGGGGGACUACUGUUUACACCAUAAUGAACCGAGCAGACCCAGCAUCAAAGCGACUAGCACCAAGGCAGCCACGCCUUCUCCCGUGCCAAAGGAAGACACACUUCCGAGGUGCCAGACACCUGCCGAAGCUCCCAGCUGUCAAACCUAAUUCCAAGACACGUGUCGCCACCACAACGGCUUGCACAAAGUCCCACAUUGGAACUUUGUGCAAAGCUCCCACUUUCACCUCCCUAUAAAUAGGGAACAGUACCCAGGUAAAAGCAAGAACUACUCUCCCACUUUUACCGUUACUCUGCUAGAAUUACUACUUGUAACUGACUUAGGCAUCGGAGAACCUUCGGCUGGCACCACACCGGUGUCCGAAGCUUAACGAUUGCUUCUCCCACUUUGUCUACUGCAGGUUUCCCAUCAACCUAUAUUUCACCAAGGGCCCCAGCUCUCUUCCCUGCUGAAGACCCCGCAUACCUAAUCACUAAGUUGGACUCACUAUUGGCCGGGCCAUUUUGAGCAUCAACAAACCCCAAAAGAUGUUAAUACUGAAAGUUAUACUUUGGUGUUCGGAAUAAAAGGGAAUAUACCUACUUUGUAUGACACAAUAUUUCUGGCAGAAACAAGGAAUGUUGGCAGAAACAAUUGUGCCCCUUUAUUGCACAUUUACGGAGACCAACAUGUUAUCUUUAAGGGUUAUUAGAUGCACGGAGUAUAUCACCAGAAGUGAUUCCCUAAAGAUAUAUAAAUAGCAGGGUGAAAGCUACAUAAUGUGUCAUAAAGUUUAAUCGCUUAAACAAAAUCCAUGAAAGGAUUGAAAUUGCAUGAAGCAAGUCCCUAAAGGACAUGUGUCUGAAGCACAAAACCUGUACUCAAUUCUAAAUACGCAUAAAUUGCCUCAGUGAGUACUUGAUUAUAAUAUGUUUGCAACAUAUUGAAACUCUUGAAGAGUUAAGAAAUAUUUGUCUCGACUUAAAGAUCGAGCAUUAUGCCAACGAGAUUCUUGCUUAUACUAAGAAAGUAUUGAAGCAUUUUUGUGAGGAUUAUCCGUUGGGCACUUUAAGGAUUUUUCGGAAGUAUAUUGGACCGGACAUCAUAUUUUCCAGAUAGAGCUCAACUCCAUCACCAUCAUUUUGGCAUAUUUGAUGCUAUCUCCACAUAACACCAUGUACGGGCAUAUUCUUGUCAAGUGAACUUACAAAUAGCCUAGGUUUUGUUGGAAACGCGGACACUGAAAAUUUCUAUGAUUUUCAUAGAGAUAGCUCACUGGAAAUAUAUUUACUUACUCAACUACGAGAAUUGUUAAUGGCUACAUCCUCCACUCACUCCGAAAGAUUCUCACUCCAAAAGAUAGUUAUGAAGACAUCAAGGGGAGAUAUUAAUCAGGGGGAGCAUCCAGAAGUAUGCUAUACUGAUUGUUGUACUCUUCUUUCUUCCUUCCAUCAGUUUUCUACCUCACUAGGUUUUCUCCAAGCAAGUCUUUAAUGAUGCAACCGACAUAUCAUUUGUGGUCUCUAAGGGGGAGUGUUGUAAAGGUUUUUGUGUGGAGCCCACUAACUAUUCAUUUGGAGAUUUUGGGUAAAGUUUGUCUGCAACUUUCCCUUAGUGCACAUUCACGUGGGUUGGAUACCUCCACUAAUCUGCCUAUAAAUAAGGGAUUAUCCUGCCUUUGUAUAGACACCUCCAGAUGAAAGAAGAAUGAGAGUCAGGCAGAGAAGAGGAAGAGAAGGAAGAAAGAGGGUGAGUGAGUAGAGAGGAAAGAGAGCAUAGAGAAAUUCUCCAAGAGAGAAAAUUCAGUGAGCCACACAUAUUGUAAACACUAAAGUUGUAGCCCUAUUAUUUUAUAUAGUGGAAAAGUUACUACUGCUCCCUCCGAGGACGUAGGCAUAGUCGAACCUCGUUAAAUACUAUGUCUCAUCUACUUUACGUGCAGCUCAAUAUUCGCACAUAUUCCAGUUCAUUUUAUAACAAGAAGUUUCUUCAUAAACAAUUAUGUAAAUGUUGAAGAUACUGUUUGGGUAUGGUCUAAAAUCCAAGUCGAGGUUGGGGUCAAGCAAUUCCAAGUGGAGGUGGAACCCAACUCCGAGGUCAAGGAAGAAUCCAACUCCAAGUCAAGGCGGAACCCAACUCCAAGUCGAGGUGGAAACCCAAGUGCAAGGUCAAGGCGGAACCCAACUCCAACUUGAGGCGGAAUCCAACUCCAAGUUGAAGUUGAAACCCAACUGUAAAUCAAGGUGGAAACCCAUUUACGAGGUCAAGGUGAAAACCUAACUCUGAGGUCAAAGUGGAAACCAAACUCCAAAAGGGCUAGCCAAACAAGGAGAUUAUUAUUUAUAGUGGAAAUAAAUAAAUAGAAUGAAAAAAAAACACCCACAAGCUUGGCUUGGCUUGGGCUUGGGAUAGAUAAUUAGCCAAGGUGGACCACAAGCUUGGCUUGGCACAAUCUAAUCUCAUAAAUUAGUCACUUUGAUCGAAUUAAAGAAGAGUAUGAUUGUUGGAACUCUAUUUCUUCCUAGAUGGACACACAGGGGUGCUUUGUUCAUCCCUGAAAAAGUUACCAGGAUCAACUAAGGUCUAACAUGAACAAGUUUCUAAAACUUAUUCUUGAAAUACUUCAAACCGCAAAUGCUUGCUUCUGCAUAGCUUGUAUUAAUAUCCUUCUUCCUUCCCAAGUCAAGAUCUUUGUAAUUCAAAUAGGCAGCUCUUGUGAAACAUAUGGUGCCAUGUAGCUUUCUCAUUAAGCCAAUAUACUUCUCAGUUUCCUUGUCAUCAUCCCAAGUGACCAUAUACUGGUUUUGAAUAGAUUUCCUUUUCUGUGUGGGAAAAGAGUUUCUGAAUCGGAAAUCUCACUCAUUUUUCCACCAUAAGGUGUCAAUAUCAGGUAAGCCUUUACUUCAAUUAGUGUUUUCCAUCAACCUUCCAAGCGCGCACAUGGAAAAGUCAACUUCACAAUCUCCUCCUAACAAUUAGCUUCUCCUGCUGUAAAUCUAAUUGUAUUCAUGAUUGUAUUAUUUCAUACCUUAAGUAGACUUCCUGUAUCAGUAUAAAUAGGGACUUUGUGUAAUCCAUUCAAUACAAGGAAAUAUAUUCUCUACAUGGUAUCAGCCUUACCCUUCGUCUAAAUCCACCGUCUCCCUUCCCCUAGCCCCAACUCUUCUCAUUUUAUCAAGCUUACUGACUCCAGCUACCUCCUUUGGCUCUGUCAACUCAAACCCUUUUUAGUCGGUCAUGACCUCUAGAAAUUUAUUGAUGGCAUUCACAAACAACCUUCUGCCCAAACCUCCACUUCUACCAUCAAAACACCCACAACCACCACUGCCUCCCUUACCCAAACCAAUCCCACCCAUGCUCAAUGGUACCAACAAGACCAACUUAUUGUCAACUACAUCACCAGUACAAUCUCUAACUCCAUUCUCUCUAUCAUCGUCGGUUGCAUGGCUACCCGGGAUAUUUGUGUCACAUCCCGGGAUCAACUCCGCCGUAGCACGAUAUUGUCCGCUUUGGGCCCCCCUCUCUGCCCGCACGGUUUUGUUUCUGGGAGCUCACUAGCAACUUCCCAGUGGGUCACCCAUCCUGGGAUUGCUUUGGCCUCCAACUCGGUUAACUUCGGAGUUCCUACGACUCCGAAGCUAGUGAGCUCCCAAAAGGCCUCGUGCUAGAUGGAUGUGAGUGUGUACAUAUAAGGCACAUCACCCCAUCUCCGUUGGUUGAUGUGGGAUCUUACAAUCCACCCCCCUUAAGGGCCUGACGUCCACGUCGGCACACUCGCACCACACGGCAGAGUGGCUCUGAUACCAAAUUGUCACAUCCCGGGAUCAACUCCGCCGUAGCACGAUAUUGUCCGCUUUGGCCCCCCUCUGCCCUCACGGUUUUGUUUCUGGGAGCUCACGAGCAACUUCCCAGUGGGUCACCCAUCCUGGGAUUGCUCUGGCCUCCAACUCGCUUAACUUCGGAGUUCCUACGACUCGGAAGCCAGUGAGCUCCCAAAAGGCCUCGUGCUAGAUGAAUGUGGGUGUGUACAUAUAAGGCACAUCACCCCCUCUCCGUUGGUUGAUGUGGGAUCUUACAAUUUGGGAGUGUCUCUAAUGCCAUUUCUCUUAAUCUAGUAGGUCCAGUGAAUCUGCUCUUCGUUUUCAACCCAUGGAUAUGUAAAAAAGCUCUACACCAUUGAUGCUUACCUUCAUCAUGCUAAGUCCCUUGUCGAUUCAUUGGCUGCCAUCAAUGAACCUGUCUCCCUAAAAGAACUUGUCACCGCUAUGCGGACUUAACGAACAACUUUGUUAUAGGAACAUCCAACUGUACCAUAGGUACAGCUGUUACCCUAUGCAAAACCUCCGGUUCCUGUUCAUAAUUUUCUGGAACUUCUGAGACAGCCUCUGUUUGUGGUAAAGCUCCAGCUCUACUUCUGCUUCCUUCUUCUCUCUUGCAGAAUGUCUUCACUUAGGAAUGACAAUUCUUUGACAACAUCAAAUUAAUUGAUUUUCAUAGUUGCAUAUCUAUACCAACUACCGAGGGUUGAGAUUACCAUCACCACUACUAUAGUUGUCACGACCCUCCUUUGGUCGAACUCACAACUCCCUCACUUCCAUGUAACUCAUCCAACGGAAUUUCUCUUCCGUAUUUUCCACUGUGAAAUAAUUUGACUUUUGUGACGUCCUCAACGUCGCAAAUGUGCCAUUCCGAGAUGGAACACAUAAUGAUGCCCACAACUUAAGGAUGCACAUAAGGUGCAGGGUCCACAGGAAAUUGAACCUAGAUCUCUGAUACCAAUUAAAAGUACCCACCCCGAAUUUUCCAAAACCCGAGGCGAAUCCUGUGGAAAUUCCCUACAUCACCCCGACGUCAGGCCCACUUCUAAAGUUAUACCCUUUUCCCAAAAUGGAAUAAGGGUACGAGAAUUUCUGCUAAAAUUUCGACAAAGUCUCCUCUGUAAAUUGAACAUUUCUCAAAGUUUCAACCUGCAUAAAAACACAUUUAAUAUUCCGAAUGGCAGCAUGCAUAAAAUAAUCUCAUGCAAUUUACAUAAACGGUCUUCGGCCUUCCAAUAAUUCUCAACAAACUACCAAGCACACUAACAAAUCAAUUCAUGCCUUAAACAAGGCAAACAAUAAAUUCAAAGACGAAUUAUGACUACUAACUACAACAUACAUCAUCUAACUUUUCCAAAUCCAACAUACGAGGUUUUAACCUCCUAACACAAUCACAUCUAUGUCUGCGGCUGCACCUAAUAACCUUAGACUGCCUACGUACCCUCAUUGAGGAAUCAAGCCGCACGUAGUUCUUCCUUAAAACCCAAUUCCACACAUAGGCAAUACCUUAUUUCAUUUCUCUAUAUUUCACAUAAUCUCCCCAUACACCGGUACUACCAACGCCACGUAUGGGGCCUAUCAAGCACACGUAGUUCUUCCUUAAAACCCAAUUCCACAAAUAGGCAAUACCUUAUUUCAUUUCUCUGUAUUUCACAUAAUCUCCCCAUAUACCGGUACUACCAACGUCACAUAUGGGGCCUGUCAACACGCCGGAUAACCUACGCCACGUACGACCAUACCAUACUAUUACAAUAUCUCCACAUACGCCGGUACAACCAACACCACGUAUAGGGCAUGUCUCAACGCCGAAUAACCUACUUCAUGCGAGACGUGAACAUCAUAUCAAAAUAUCUCCCCAUACGCCGGUACAACCAACGCCACGUAUGGGGUCUGUCGACACGCCGAAUAACCUACGUCACGUCCGACCUCAACAUAUUAUCACAAGAUCACCCCAUACGCCGGUACAACCAACGCCAUGUAUGGGGUCUGUCCGCAUGUUGGAUAACCUAUGCGACGUGGGACCUAACUUUCAAAGGGUGGUACUUGCAGUGUAACCAAAAUCCGGGGAGGUACCUAAUGUAGUGCGUAUAGCACUUUUAACUGACAUUCUAGACUCUUUUGUGCCUGUAUACAAACAUAUAUAAAUAUAUAUAUUAAUUCUAAUGUUGUGUAACCUCAACAAUAAUCUAGCACCUGAUAAUCCCCCUGGGAAGGUGAGAUUACUUCGGGAGACUCACGGUCAACCAAGGGUCAAACUACCCUAACCCUGGUCAAACGGGCCCAUGGGGCCCACGACUUCCAAAUUCCGAUCCGAAAGUUCCCAUGGGUUCUACAAGGUAUAGGAAACUCGUCCUGCAAGUUUGGUUCAAAUCAGACGGUCAGAUCGCUUACGAUCGCACGAUCUGACGAUUAAUAUAAAACAUAAACUUUAAAUUAUUAAAUCGGAACAUCCGGGGCUCCGAUUCACGAUCCGUGAAUUCCUACACAAUCCUAGAAAUACCUAGAUUAACAUAUAUUAAAUCUGAGACCAUCCAACGGUCCUAACCUAUCGAACCCGGAUAAUGCGCAAUAGGCGAUAUCCAUUCGAUAGUCAAACGACGUCCGAAUUGAGAUCCGCGAAAUCCUACGCACUCUUGACAACCUAAGGAUCUCAUCGAGACAUAGUGCAACUUCACUACCCUUACCCACGCGCCGCCGCACGCGCCGGCAGCGCUGGGUGCCCAAAGCGAUUACGCAUCGUAGGAAAAUCUCAAAACCACGGCUCCAAACUCUUACCCUAGGUAUAACACCUUAUUUGGAACCACUAUUGUUCUUAGACCUACCCCAAAAACUGACCAGAAGUGGCUGGAAUCAAGAUCCCAAAACCAGCCGAAUUUCAAUUUGUAAAUGAAAUUACCUAUGCUUAGAAUCGAUGUAAUCCUACCCAACCAUCAGCUAGAGCAUGGAAAAUAGGUAGAAAUCCAUACCUCACUCGUCGGAAUCGGUAGCUGGAGGAGGGAGAUCGACGGAUGAGAAGUUCGAACUACACCGGCCACUUCUUCUCCAUUUUCCGACGAAACCGAGGCGUUGGAGGCGGGAGCUGAUUGGAGUUGGAAGAGGACGACGGCCCGGUCAUUUUGGUACCAGCCCCGUCGUCAUCGGUGGUGGAGGAGAGAACGGCCAGCCAAAAUGUGGCUGGCUGCUGUACCGCACGCGAGAGAGAGGAUAGAGAGAGAGAGAGAGAGAGAGAGAGAGAGAGAGAGAGAGAGAGAGAGAGAGAUCUGAUUUUUUAUAAAAAUCUCAUUUCAAAAUAAUUACGAUUGUGCCACUGGGUUUCUUUUGACCAUAUCUCUUUCGUUACAACUCCGAUUCGAGCCCACUACAUGUCUACGAACUCCUCUCAGUACGACCUAUCCAAAAAUACUAGUCACUGCCCCAUAUUCUCUCCGGGUGAGAAAAUAACCAAAAUACCCCUAUCUCAAGGGUAAAUUUGUAAUUUUCCUUAAAUAAUUUAAAUAAUUUAAAUAAGGGGUUUAAUUUGGAGUCGGGGUGUUACACAAUUUUUUCUUCAAAAUAUCUUUUGUCUUCCCUCUCUUCGUACUAAUCUUCUCUUUGUUGCCUGUUUUACUCAUGAUAACUUAGUUUUCUUUGUCUUUACUCAUGACUUUUAUCAAAUGAAUGACUUUACGUACUAGUUUGUUAAUCUUUCAGGGUCGUUCUAAAUAUGGUCUUUAAUUACCCACUUUCCCUCUCCUCUCACUCAUCCAUUGUCCCCCCCUGCCCUUACAAUUGUGUACUCUCCUGCUUGGCAUCCUCGACUUGACCAUCCAUCCCAUCUCGUGCUCUCUCACUUAGCGUCAUCUCUAGGCUUUAAAGUUUCUCAUCAUUUAUAGCUACUAGAACAUGAGAGCCAUGAAAAGUGAGAGAUUCACUAUUAUACCUAAUAUAGGGGCCCAAAUUAUUUUAAAAAACUUAUAUGAAAUGGACUUUAGAAACACACCCAAAACUCAUUUACAACAUAACAAAGAGGCUUUUAACUUGUUUUAAAUUACAAAACUGCCAUCAAUUUCUUAAAACAAGCCUAACCCCAACACAUUCAAUAGGGUAUCAAAGUAAUUUAAUAAUCAAAAUUAAAUUUAAUAGGAUCAGCUUUCAUUUUUUAGGUUUGUUUAUAAAAAUUGUAGGUGCAAAGUUUAUUUAUAUAAUUAGUAUUAAGAAUGGGUAUAUGACUAAAUAUCCCAAUGCGGGCAUUAGGUGUCCAUUGAAGACAAAGCAAAGGUUCAGUAUGUUUAUUUUUGUAGUUAGAAUAAAACAAGAAACAAGUGUCGUUUAAAAUAUUGAAGCAUAUCAUAAAAAAUAAAAAAUAAAAUAUUGAAGAAUACGUUAGAGAACACCCAAGAGCAUGAAAACAAAACUCUAUCGAUUUAGAUUCUUCUCAACAGCUUAUUUUAUAAUUGGAGAUACAAAUGAGUUAAUAAUCGCAAUGUCGUUUUUUGUCAUUCAUUUCAAUUCGUAUUAAAGAAGUUAUCAUAAAUUUUUUUAAAAAAAGUUGCAUUAUUGUUUGGACACCUAGUAAGCAGCAAAUGAGUGCUUAAUUAUGACUUAUAUGAUCAUAUGCAUCUCAAUCCUCCAACUCAGGAGUCAUAGGCUGUUACUAGUUAAAAGUAAGAUAUCUCCUCGGAGAUUGGUUCUGUCUUCUCUGUUCUGAUAACAGAGCAGAGAAAUCUCCUCGGAGAUUGUACAGAAGAAGACUUCAUCAAAUAAACAGUUUGACAAUCAAAGCAGGAAUUAAAAUAUUUAAAUCAUUUGAAAUAAAAUUAUACUUCUGUUUUGCGAAUGGAUUUCAAUCUUCACAGCAAGAGAAAGGCAACAGAUGAGGUUCUAUUAUUCGUGGGUUGGUAACGUGGUACAAUGGAAUGAGCAAAUGAAGCCGAACCUAUUUAUUUGUUGUUCAUUCUAUUACAGAGACGCAUCUAGUUGUUGUUGGCAUUUCAUUUUUCCAGAUCGUAACACAGGGAUGCUUUGUUCAUUAAAAAAGAAGUUACCAGGAUCAACUACGGUCUUCACUUGAGCAAGUCUCCUGAAGUUAUUCUUGAAGUAGCUCAAACCCCAAAUGCUUGCUUCUGCAUAGCUUGUGUUAGCAUCCUUGUUUAUCCCCAAGUCAAGAUCCCUGGAGUUCAAAUAGGCACCUCUUGGGGACUUGGAAACAUAUGCUGCCAUGUAGGCGUACGCCAUUCUUGUCCAGCUAACAUCUUUCUCACUAUCUUUGUCAUCAUCCCAAGCGACAGAAUACUGGAUUUCAUAUAAGUUUCCUUUUCUGUGUGGGAAAGGAAUUUCUGAUUCGGAAAUCUCACUCAUUAUUCCGCCAAAAGGUGUCAGUAUCACCGCGGAUGCGUCUAGUUGAAACAAUAUCUGAUAUAAAACUUCCAUGCCCGCUUCUGAAAGUGGUUCUGUCACGUAGUCUGAUUUUCCUUUGAAGAAGCUCCUAGAUUGUUGACUCCGGUUGAGCAGAGCUUCUGUAUCAUUUAUUGAGUAGUCAGAGAAAUAUAGAAUAGACUGAAUCCAACUCAUUUCAGUGAAUGCGCUCCGGCUUAAAUUGAACUCUGGGAAGUUUUCUUUCAUCCAAGGAAGAAGUUCCUCAUAAGUCUCAAGAAACAAGAAACUGAAUUCAGCUUCAAUAGUUUUUCCACCGUUUGUACCAUUUGUAACUCCUAUACCCACACGCAGGAAAUACCCUUCAGGCAUCCAAUCUGCUAUUGUUUGGCAUUGAGAAAGAAGUUUGGUUGCACCUUCUUCCAUGGUCUUUGAUGCCACGUAAGUUGUUACAGUUGGAGGAACCGGAACCAACCUAAGUUUCCAUGACAGAAUGACUCCAAAGCUUGCGCCUCCCCCGCCUCUAAUAGCCCAAAAGAGAUCUUCUCCCAUGGAUUUUCUGUCAAGAACUCUGCCAUUAACGUCGACAAUCUUAGCAUCAAGGACAUUGUCAGCUGCCAUACCAUACUUCCUGAACAAGGAACCAUAUCCACCUCCACUAAUAUGUCCCCCCACACCAACAGUUGGACAAGUCCCUGCUGGAAAGCCAUGGACUUUACUCUUUUGUGCAAUUGCGUAAUACAACUCCCCGAGAGUAGCACCAGACUCGACCCAAGCGAUCUCAUUCUCUAUGUCAAUAUCAAUGGACCGAAGUUCGAAAAGAUCAAUCAGGAUGAAAGGAGCUAUCGAUACAUAAGAUAGGCCCUCGAAGUCAUGCCCCCCGCUUCGGGUUCUUAUUUGUAUGCCCUCUUUCUUGGAACAAAUUACAGCUGCUUGAACAUGAGAGUGUUUAAAAGGAGUAAUGAUAGCUUCUGGUUUUGGUGUUGGAGUGUUGAAGAAUCUGAGAUUCUGUAUGGAAAAUUGCAAGACUGAGUAAUAAGCAGGAUUGUUUUUGGUGAUAAUAAUUUUGCUGCUUGAGUUUGAAGGUAUGUGGGAGGAAAAGCAUUGAAGAAAGCUUUCAGAAAUUGAGUUUGAAGUUGUGCACCAAACUGAAUUGAGAAGGAUGAAAAGUAGGACUGGAACUAGUUUUAUGUGAGAGAUCUCCAUUUCUCUCUGCAUGUGGAAUGGUAUGAGCUCUGAGCUCACUUAUAUAAGUAGUUUGAGUUGAAAGAAAAAUGCAGCCAUUGGUCUAAAUUGUCUUCACCAAACACUUGACUAAACGUGACCACCAAACACUUGACUAAAUGUCACCAAUUUGUUUUCUGUGCGUUGAAAUGAGAAAUACAACACAAAGAAAAUAGCACUGAUAUAUUCUUUGAUGCUCCAACAGUGAUGGAAUCAGGGAGAGACCCAAAGUGGGGUCAAUAGGGUCAAACGACUCUAUGGACCAUCUCAACGAAUUUUUUUAAAAACGUGUUGGAUCCAAAACGGCGUCGUUUUGAACCCAGCGAAAUUUUUUUUAAAAUGCGCUGGUACCAAAACGGCGUCGUUUUGGACCAGCAGCAAUGAAUUUUUUUUACAAAAUAUUUAUAUUAUAAAUAACAUAUAAACAAAUUGGAAAGUUUUGAAGGUAUAAUGAAAUUGAAGAAAACAAAAUAAUAGGUAAGUAAAGGAAAAUAAAUAAUAAGUAAGAAGGUGAGUUUGGUACCGUGAAGCACGUCAAAGACGCUGUCCUAAAGCCUUUGUAGCCUCCCUAUGUGCAGGUACUGACGGUCUACAAGACUCCAAAAUACGACCCCUUGUACACAAACUCAAGAUCCGCUAUGAGCACAUUCACAGACAAAUAUAGGUAUCCAAGUCACAUAACCAUUGCCCAAAAUAAUAAUAAUAUAAAGUAGAGAAUAUAUGUAAAAGUAGACAAGGAGAGAAUUAGAAUGUGUAUGUGAUAUUCUGAUAAUGUAUUGUGUGUUAUGUAAAAGUAGACAAGGAGAGAAUUAGAAUGUGUAUAUGAUAUUCUGAUAAUGUAUUGUGUGUUAUUGUGUGUAUUGUGUGUAUUGUGUGUAUUGUGUGUAUUGUGUGUAUAUCAAAUGUGAAGGAGGAGUGGCCUUUUAUAGGCAUCCAAAAACAUGUAACCUUCACCAACCAUAAAAGUUCACCAACCAAAAAAUUACCCACAAUAAAUAAAAUAAAACAACCAAAGUAAUUAAAUAAAUAAAACGGUUAAAUUUUUAAAACCUUUUAAAAUUCCAACAAUACAACACAAAGAAAAUAGCACUGAUAUAUUCUUUGAUGCUCCUGGAGAAGUGUUGAAUACAUUGGUAGAGGAUGCAGACUAUUCAAACACGUUUACAAUAGGAACAAGUUCCUUCAUAAACACUUGACUAAACGUGAUCACCUGAACAAGGUACCAAAUCCACCUCCUCUAGUGUGGUCCCCCACACCUUGUAACAAAUACCUACCGAUUUAGAGUCCUGUCAAAAACUUAUUCUAAAAUUGGACAUACUAAUGAUUUAAAAAUCUCAAUUGUCGCUUUUUGUCACUCAUUUCAAUUCAUAUUAAAGAAGUUAUCAUAAAAAAUUUGGAAAAAGUUGCAUUAUUAUUUGUUUGUUGGAAAAAUGAAGUUAUUUUAUUGUUUGGACAGCUAGUAACCACCAAUAUAAUGUUUAAUUAUGACCAAAUGGACGAAUUUUGGAGUAAUUUCAAUUGGAGGACGUCCGUGAGUCACUUAAAUUGAUCGUGUUAAAAUUUCAGAUUUUCUACCAAGCGGUUAUUUUCUGGCAAUAAAAUAAAUGAGCCGUGCGCAGUGCUGGAAUAGUGACGUUUUGGGCAUUUAUUGCAUUUUUGGAGCCCAAGAUGACCUCGGAUGGGUUCGUGGCCUUCUAGAGAAGUGUUCAGAAUAUUUUUAUCUUUAAAAUAAGCAACCUUGGGCCAGAUUUGGAGGAGAUUUGAGGCCAAAACGUGGCUAGGCGGAUUAUGGAUUCUCCUAAUCCAAUUUGGACUUUAUUUCCCAGUAUUAUUUUAUUUUAACUUAGUUUCCUUGUGGGGAUUAGGCAGCUAGGUUUUAGGAGAUAUUUAAGCUCCUUUUCACAGAAAAUUUUGGAACUUCUUUUUGGCUUUUGGAGCAUUUGCUAGGGUUUUGGGUUUUCGCAACUUUCAGGUGUUUUCAUUCUUAUUCAUUCGAAUGAUAUUUUCUUGAAUUUCAACUAUGAAUAUGCAUAACUAAAUUUCAUUUGCUAUGGUGAAGCCUUGAACCUUAGCAUGAAUAUGUGAUUUUUAUUUAAUUGCUUAUGAUUGAGUGCAUGCAUACUUUGAAUUGUUAAUCACUGUUUUAAACUAUCUAAUUGUCUUGAUGCCUGAUCACCAUUAGGAUCUUUAUAAAAGUAAUUAAAUGCAAUUUUGGUCGGAAGGUUCCUUGAAAUUGACGCUGGCUUCUUGUGAUUAAUAAUUGUAAUUUCACUCAAGAUGAACACCACAUCUUAAGGGUUGCAUGGUUUUUCAAAGGGUUUUCACAAAACUUAAUGAGUCUUUCAUGUUCAGAUUUGAUCCGAACGUCCGGACGGGUUGCAUGUUGGAUAUACAUUCUGUGUUGGAGGUUCCAAGUAGAAUAUAAAUUAGGAAAACAUAACCUUCAAAGUGGCAUGUGGGAAUCAUAAGUAAUUGGUAAAAAUUCAUGGGAUUGCUAGGUGAUGGUGAAAUUUUAGUGCUUUUAUAAAUUGAUAUUUUAAAAUUCUCCUUCGAUCAUAUUUGUUUUUGUUAAAUUUAUUUUUAGUAUCAACCAAUUUCAUAAUCAUCUUUAUCUACUUUGAAUUUUAGGUAGUUACUUGCAAGAAUACAAGCCUAUUGUAGUAUAGAUGCUCAUGCAAGGUCGUUCUCCUUAAGGACUAGUGGUCCUAUCAUGUCUGGGACCUCCAACAACUCCAUCAAACAUUAUGUCCACUCCAUCUAUGAUCACCAGGUCUUCAGCACCGAGCAGGGACGCUUUCCGAAGAUGCAAAAAUCUGGUUGGGCCCCCAUUAACUUAUGCGAAGAAGAGGAACGCAGUGUUAUUCUCCCCUAUUAUGACCCACUCAUUAUCCACGCAGAUAAUUCUAACUUCGACAUUGGGCGUAUCUUGGUGGACACUGGCAGCUCAGUCAGUAUGAUGUUUGCUAAUGCUUUCAACGAGCUCCAGGUCCCUACUCAUUUGUUCGACCGAAGCAUCACACCUUUUGUGAGCUUCUCUAGUGAUGUUGUCCAGCUCAUUGGAAGCAUCCAUCUCCCUAUCUCUAUUGGUUCAGCACAACAGCGGGCGACGGUCACCACUCUCUUCCUCAUUGUUGACUGUCCCACAACCUACAACGUCAUCCUUAGGCGUCUAGCCUUGGCCCAAAUGAAGAUUUUCAUUUCCACGCAAAUGCUACUGCUGAAAUUCCCUACCCCUUAUGGCACAGGCAUGGUGCGUGGCGACCAACUUGGUGCCCAAAGUUGCUAUGCUUCAGCAGUCAAGUCCACCAAACACCAGCAUAAGAGUGAGACCCUCGCUGUAACCAAGGCUCCAGCCCUUCCCCAAGCAGGCUCUGAACCACCUGAAGACCCUAGGGAGGAAUCGGUUAUAUAGCAGGUCGAGCCCGUAGAAGAUCUUGAGCUUGUCUGCCUCCAUGACGACAUUCUGGAUCAACACCGCCCUCUCCCAAGAGCUUCGCUCUAACCUAUGGCCUUCCUUCGCCUUAACUCUAAAGUCUUCGCAUGUUCUUACAAUUAUAUGGCCGGCAUAUCCCCUGAUAUCAGCUAAGCAUUAAUCCUGUCCCCUGACCCGUUCGGCAGAAGUGUCACGCCUAUGACCCAGAGAGGUACGAGGCCAUGAAAAGGGAGGUGGAUAAGCUAAGCAGCAUUGGAUUCAUCAAGGAGGUGGACUAUCCCACCUGGCUGGCUAAUUUGGUGAUGGUUCGUAAACCAAAGAAAGGCUGGCGUAUGUGUAUAGACUGCACAAACCUUAAUCGGGCUUGUCCAAAGGAUAGCAUUCCUUUACCUCGAAUCGACCAGCUUGUGGACGCCACAGCUGGCCACGCCCUCCUCAGCUUCAUGGACGUUACUCUGAGUAUAACCAGAUCUUCUUGCAUCCUGAUGACCAAGCCCACAUCUCCUUCAUUACUGAUCGUGGUCUAUACUGCUACAAGGCGAUGCCCUUCUGGCUCAAGUACGCCGGGGCUACUUCUCAAUGUUUUGUGAACACCCUCUUCACCCCACUGAUUGGUAACACCAUGGAGGUUUAUGUUGAUGACAUGCUAGUCAAAAGUUGCACUGUUGACUAGCACAUCUCCAACUUAGCUACCAUGUUCACCAUCCUGAAGCAGUAUAACAUGCGACUAAGUCCCACGAAAUGUGCCUUCGGCGUGGCUUCAAGGAAAUUCCUUGGCUUCAUAAUUAGCCAGCGGGGUAUUGAAGCCAAUCCAGAAAAAAUCCAGGCCAUCUUAGACAUGAAGAUACCCAAGACAACCAAGGACAUCCAGAGCCCUACCGGAAGUGUUGCAUCCCUAAUCAGGUUUAUCUCAAAGGCCACCGAUCGCUGCGCCCCCUUCUUCAAGGCACUCAAGGGCAACAAGUGGCACAUCACCUGGACUGCCGAAUGUGACAAAGCUUUCAGCGAGCUCAAGGAGUAUAUGAGCCAGGCCCUUUUGUUGUCAAAGCCCAAGCCUGGAGACACCCUCACAAUUUACCUCUCCGUCUCGACCACAACAGUUAGCUCAGUGCUCGUCCGACUACAUGAAGGUGUUGAGCACCUCGUGCAUUAUGUAAGCAAAGCAUUACAAUAUGUCAAGGUUCGGUACUCAGAAAUUGAGAAACUAGCAUUCGCCUUGGUAGUUUCGGCUAGACGCCUCAAACCGUACUCCCAAGCACACACCAUCCAUAUCCUAACAAAUCUGCCACUAAGGCAGGUAUUGCUAAAGCCGGAGACUUCUGGCAGGUUGGUCAAGUGGGUCAUUGAACUUGGUGAAUUUGAUCUCCACUACAAACCCCGCCCAGCUACAAAGGGCCAAGCCGUUGCUGACUUCAUAUCAAAAUUUACGGAACCCCAAGCUUCGACCUCUACCCAAAUCGUAACCGAACCCAAUCUUCCCUUGAGCCAGGUCCACGUCGCCAGCAACGGCACCCUAGACCUGACCCAGCUCUUUUGGACCUUAUAUAUGGAUGGCUCCUCCAAUGCCUAGAGAUAUAGGGAUAGCCUCGUCCUCAUCUCCCCAGAUUAAGUUGUCCUUAAGUAUGCCAUCCAUUUCAAAUUCCAUGCCUCCAACAAUGUGGCCGAAUACGAAGCACUCUUAGCUGGCCUUCGACUAACCAAGGAAAUGGGCGCUAAGAAAAUUCAGAUAUUCAGUGACUCAUAACUCGUUAUCCAUCAAGUCAACCAGGACUUCACUGCCAAGGACAUCUCUAUGACAGGCUACCUCCAACAUACUCGUCACCUGCUUGCAACUUUCGAUGCUUAUAACAUAAGCCAAGUGCACACUCUGAGAAAGGCAUGCUGAUGCUUUAGCCAGGCUAGCCACGGUCUUAGAGCAGGGUAUAGGACGCAACAUCCACAUCGAGUUCUUAGAUCAGCCCAGCACACAGGCACUAUUCAUCUGUACCAUUGAUCACAACCCUACGUGGAUGGACCUUAUCCUUUAGUUCUUGCAAAACCAGACACUACCUAUUGAUUUUGUUGAGGCACGGCGUGUUCGCUAUCGCUCCGCUCGAUACUUAUCAUCAGUGGCACUUUAUACUAGCAUGGCUUCAGCCUCCCCUACCUUCGUUUUCUAACUCCAAAGGAAGAUAAUUAUGUCCUUCGGGAGAUUCAUAAGGGCAUCUGCGGCAACCACUCAGGCGCUCACUCACUAGCACAUUGGACCUAUGCAUGAGGACAAGGGUCAGGUCAAGUAUACAGUUGUAGAUAUGAACUAUUUCACCAAGUGGGUUGAAGCUAAAGCCUUAGCCACCAUGACUGCAUCUCACAUUGAAACGUUCAUUUGGCAAAAUAUCGUAUGUCCCUUCGACAUCCCCUACACCAUCAUCACAGACAACGACCGGCAAUUUGACAAUGCAAAGUUCAAGCAAUUUUGUUACAACCUCAAUUUACGAGUUUGCUUUGCCUCCCCAGCCCAUCCUCAGUCCAAUGGCUAGGUCGUAACUAUGAACAAAAUCAUCAAGAAGAUCUUGAAGACCAAGCUUGACAUAGCCAAGGGUUGCUGGCAAGAGCUACUCCUAGAGGUUCUCUGAUCCUACCGCACCACCUUCUGGACAUCCACAGGAGAAACACCGUUCUCUCUCUCCUUUGGUACUGAAGCCGUGGCACCAGUGGAGAUUGGUCAGCCCACAUACCGAACCUCCACUUAUGAUACCGAGGCCAAUGACAAGCAGUUAGCCCUGAACCUCAACUUCAUUGAUGAGCUUCGUGACCAAUCCAACAUACGCAAUGUUGCCUAUAAACAGCGUAUUGCCAAGUUCUAUGACUCCCGAGUCAAACCUUGUGCUUUCAAGAUUGGGGACUGGGUCAUGCACAAGGUUUACUUGGCCACCAAGAACCCUACUGAAGGUACCUUGGGCCCUACAUGGGAAGGUCCUUAUGAGAUUACCAAAGUCUGCCACCUUAACACUUAUCAACUUCGUGAUCCCAAGGCAAGACUUUGCCUCAUCCUUGGAAUGAUGAUCACCUCAAGUACUAUUAUAAGUAAACACACCUAGACCCUAGGACAUUAUGUUUUCUUAGAUUUUGGUCUUGAGCCUUGCGUCAACCAACUCUUGUACCUUUUGCCUUUCAGCACCUAUUUAAUGAAACGCCUGACUCUGGCUAAUUCUCAUCAAUCACAUGAUUAUGUUUUUGCUAGCACAACUGAUAUCAAAUGACAACAAGUCCAAUAUCAUAGCAAAUCCAAAUAACCUUGCCCCAAGCAAGGAAAAAUGUUCAUACAAAUCAGAAAUAAACAUCAAGUGUUCCAAAAAAUAACUAGAAUACACAAGGAAGGCAACGCCUUCAGGACUCAGUAGAAGAGGCAUCCGCGGUGGCCGGCUCUGACUCUGGCGCAACGGCAGUGACAUCGGUAGUGAGGCUAGGUGGGUUGCAGCUCGUAUCGAAAUUGAUCUCAACCGAAGGAUUGAACCUCGCCAGCCUAUCCUUCCAACGAAACUGUUCAUCGACUAACCGAUCCAUGAUAUAGCUGCGCAACUCCUCUGAACUUCGAAACGACUAGACAGCUUCGACUGUUUCAGUUCUUCCACCUCUUUGGCCAGCGCUGCCUUCUGCUACAACAGGGCGUUCCUCUCUCGGAUGGCCUCAUGUACCUCCGCUACCUUGCCUUUGGCCAUCUCAACGCGCCUCUUCAGCCUAUGGAUCUCCUUAUCCGCCUUAGCCAUGUUGACAUACAUCUCGCCAAAGGCCUUCAAAACAAAGCAUCAUCAGUCUUAGCAAACCAGAAUGAUAAGAACAAAUUCACAAACCGAGAUAACUUACAUAAGCUGAAGUAAGGAUCGUCUUCUCGGCACUAUUUGCAAAGGAAGAAGCCUGAGUCCUCGCUAGAGUCUCGGGGUCACUCUUCAUGCCUUCCAGGAAGUUGUUCACUAAGGGAAUCUCUUGCCGAUGCAUAGCCAGGUUCACCUUAUUCUUCUACCAACGCAGCUUGGAGAAGUCCAUUUUCUCCACCCCUUCAGCAAAAACAUCAUCAAGACCGAAGAGGAGCUUCGGCAGUGCCAGCAAAUCAAAAGGAGGAAGUCUCGGCCAGCUUCCUCCAGUGCCUUUCUCUUCCCCAAAACGUCGGCAACCCGCCCAUCCUCGUCAUCUUUAGGGCGUUUCCCAGUAGCCUGUUGGGCACCCCCCUUCUCCGCCUUCUUGGCCAAAGACUCCCUCACUCGCUUAUGCAUCUCGGCCUCAUCAAUAUCCACCACCACCUUCGUGCUUCCCUUUAUAACACCUGCUACUGCACAUCAAAGGCUAAGUUAGGUACAACCACAAAACGGAAUCAAAAGACAUACAACAAAGAUAGCCCAGGUACUUACUCACUUGCAAGAGUUCGGACUCGAAUAGAUUCUUCUAGGUGACUAAGUUUCGGCACUAACGCUCGGUCUCUGACAACAGUGACCUCUCCCUCUCAACUUCGUCUUCUUACUCCUUGGAGAUCGUCCCCCACUUCACUGAAUCUGCACCAAAAGUCAAAUACUACUCAGCCAUUUACACUUGCACAAGCGAAAAUGGAGAACUAAGAGUGAAAGCAGGUAAAACACAACAAAACAACAAUCAGUCUUAAAGGAUGGGGUGAAGGACCUAUAGACUGGAAGUACGUAGGAAUGUGUUUGGUGACGGUCUUCCCUGGUGGACACUCCCAGUCACCAUAAGCUAGGCACUACCUGUUCCUCCAAAACUUCUGAGUAGAAGGCUUGUGACCAACUCUUUUGCCUUUCGACAAUUGGCUUGUGCCUAGCCAAAGCUUCCCUGUUGCUUUGAAAUCGAGUAUAAGUACAUGAACUGCUCAAAUGUUGUCUCCCCCAACCCAGCCAACCACCAAGUAAUGUAAACCUCAUGCAGAAGAAUCCAAAAGUUGGGAUUAUAUUGCCCCGGCACAUACCCCAGCUUGGCCAACAUCAUCUACACCCAAGGAUGAAACGGUAGUUUGAAGUCAUGCUGGUACAUAUCCGUAAAAAUCAGCACCGCGCCCUUCGAAGGAUACCUAACCACAUCAAUUGCAGUGGGUAACCUCUAGCCCACAUAGGGUGGAACACUAUAAUCUGUCCGAAGCUAGGCCAACUUUACUUCUGUAAGUGUAUUCCGCUUCGCCAAAGGGACAUCAACCCGUAUGUCCACUCCCUCAGAAGCUGAAGCCAUGGCUACACCCACGGACCUCGAUGGUGAUGUCUGAUUGCUCGAGCCCACCUUUGGUGUAUGAGGCAAGGCUAGAACCCGAUCAGCUAUAGCCUCUAGCUCUGUGUAAUUUCUCGGCAUCUCCUUAUAUGCCUCUGACCCAAAGUCUACUGAUGGCUCACCCCUCUCACCCUCAUGCAAUACCUUCCUACUUUCUAUAAUACCUUCUAUCACACCCUCUAUCUAGGAACUCUCAUCUUCAAAACAAACAUAUUCACUGGGCUCCUCACUCUUAGUAUCUUCCCCAGCAAAGGCAGGGGGUCAUGACUUUCUCUAUCAGAACUUUCAGACAUCUACAAUAUAUAGAAACAAGGAAAAGGAACUAAUGCACGUGUAAGAAGGAUCGAAACAUAUAUUCAACAAGUUCAUAUCAUUGAUCAAGGUGUUCAUCCUAGUCUUCAGCAUGUUCAUACCAAAAAGGACAUUUUAAUUCAAAAGUUCAAGGGAAAUGAGGUCUAACCUUGUUUGUACCACCACGAAUAAGAUGCCGGAAAUCACCUUGGCCACAUCACCAAGUGAGAAAUUUUUCUCAAGACUCAAGUAUGUUCACCUUCGCCACCCCAAGUUCCUAUUUAUAGAGCCUCAAGGGUACCAACACCUCGAUUCACAAGAAAACCCUAGCACCCUUUCACCUUCCCUCUGAAAAUCCUUGUACCUGUUCCACAAUUUGAAAUUCAAAAUUCAAAAUAAAAAUAAAUAAAUAAUGGAGAGGGAAAUUAGAGGGGGCCUUGCCGAACGGCAAGACCUGUGAAGAAGUCCAAAGGGGGGUCACAAUUCACCCUUGUCCAUGAUAUAGCUAAGCCCAACCCGUGCCCUAGCUCUAAGGGCCCAGCCCAAAUUCUACAGAAAAUUGGCCUUGUCGAAGAAACAGAGGCAUGAAAAACACUUACCUCAACGCAGGCCCAACUCCAAGUCUUCACCCUAAGCCAACGGAAGCUCAACUUCAUGAAGCCCGGCUUCCGACAUUCUCCUUCUAGACCCUGUCAGAGAUUAACAACCACCAUCUCAAUAUAUUUAGCUUACUAAAGACUAUGAAGGGCUAAUGAAGUCGCCGCGAGUUCCUCACCUUAGUCAAGCCCAACUAUAGAACGUCAAUGAUCCAGCUACAAGCUCGUGUGCUCAAACUACCCAAGGCCCAGCCUCUUGUUCGACUCCGAGUCCUUACCUGCCGAAGGUUUAAAGAAAGCCACAACAACAAAAUCAUCAUACUGUGUAAACAAACUGGCCUUGCCAAAUUAAGAAGACCCCUAUCCCAAAAGGAGGGGAUCAGAACAAACGGUACGCUAUCGAUUGAUCUGUCAGUUAACAUUACUAAAUCCGUACUUACUCAAGCAUCGGAGAGCCUUCGGCCGGUACCACACCGGUACCCGAAGGACUUACCGAACGUGUCCUUUUGUAGGUACUUACCCUUCCGAAACAGAACACCUUCCGAAGACAGUCACCUACUGAAAGCAUAAUAUCACUAAGUUGACGAAAUACGUGCUGAACCACUUUUUCGCAUCAACAAACACAAAUGAGCAUUAUUUUUUCCAACAGCACCAUAAACCUUCCAAGCCAGCUUCUGAAAUUGGUUUUGUCACAUAGUCUGAUUUUGCUUUGAAGAAUCUCUUAGAUUGUUGAGUCCGCUGAAGCAGAACUUCUGUUUUGUUUCUUUGGAUAUCAGCCAUGGAUAGAACAGACUCAAUCCAACUCAUUUCAGCGAAUUUGGUCUGCUCCACACUUAACUCUGGGAAAUUUUCUUUCAUCCAAGGGAGAAGUUUCUCGACAGUCUCUAGAAACAAGAAAUUGAAUAUAACUUGAAUAGUUUUCGCGCCAUUUGUACCACCUCCAUUUGCAACUUAUAUAACCAAACGCAAGAAAUUCCCUUCAGGAAUCCUAUCUGCUAUAGCUUGCCAUCUAGAAACAAGUUUGGUUGCACCCUGUUGUAUGGUCUUCGAUUAUGUGUGAACUGUUACAGAUGGAGGAACUGAAACCAACUCAAGUUUCCAUGCCAGAAUGACCCCAAAGAUUGAACCUCCCCCUCCUCUAAUAGCCCUUGAGCAUGUGGAAUUGUAUGAGCACUGAGCUCACUUAUAUAGGCACCAUGAGUUGAUAGAACAUUGUAGCUAUUGAUAACUUUUCAAUGGUAGGAUCCAAAAAAUUCUAUAUAUAUUAAAACCCAAUGCAACUAAACACUGCAGCUAAGCACAGUGAAAUGACGAAACUAAACUCAGUUUUCUCAUCAGCACAGUGAAAUCACGGUUUUGCCCUUGGCUAAUUGCUUUGUGUUUUCCCCAUUUUGCCCCCCCUCUCCUUCGAUUGUAACGACUUGGAGCCUUCGUUCUAUCAGAUGCUGGGUUCGCUUCUAACCAGGUUGGUUGGCCUGGUUGCGGGGCAAUGAUGGGAGAGGCCGGUCUACUGUUGGAGAUUAUCUGGAGGCUUCGAUUUUUAUGGGAGUAGCGUGCGUUGGUCUUCUUUUUCAUAUCGAACUCCAGCUUGCUCUCUGUUUCAGUCUCUUUCUCUCACUGAUCUGUAAGUAAAUUUUGCUUCAUCUUUCCUUUCGAUUUUUGUUGCUCUUCUUUUUCAUUUUUGUUGUUACUAAUAUCUUGGAUCUUAUUUGAUUAAACUAUAAGACCUGUUUUAAUUUGCUGCUCUAAAAGUCCAAAUCUCUAACAGAUGUUAUAGAUUUUCUGUUUGCAUGUAGUUAUAAAUUUUCUGUCUGGCCGAUUUUUUAUUUUUUAUUUUUUUGUCUGUCUUGCGUUCCCUUUUUGGACUCUCUCUUCGACCUUGAAGAUGCAUAAGGUUCUUGAUUACUGUCAAUUACUGAGAAUCCUGUUAUGUCAUUUUCACAUACAGCUCAGACAGACUAGCUUCCUAUAGCAUAUACAGCCCUUGAUUAUAAAAGGGUGGAACCACAUUCUCUUGAUAUAGUAUUGCAAUUGUAUAGCAAGCUGUAAAAUUUGUUGUAUUACCUGCAUUGUCCUGCUGUUCAUAGGUAAAUGCAUAGCUUUAAUUACCUCCUCUGUUUUUUUUUUUUCUUCUGUUUCUCAGCCUUUUGUAGAUCUGAGUUAUCAAUCUCUACUUCUUUUUUCCCUUUAUUUUUCAGGAAGGUUUAUGCUUCUUUGGCAAGAAGAGAAAUGCUGCAAGGAACCCAAAAAUACGAGGACUCUUCAUGCCUAAUAGGAACAAUAGAUGACUGUUAGGAAUGUAACCCAAAUUGGCCAAACAACAGGCAGAGCUUAGCAGAUUGUGCAAUUGGGUUUGGCCAAUAUGCUCUUGGAGGCAAAGGUGGUGAGUAUUAUAUUGUCACAGACU
rnacentral:lncRNA from 1 species